rnacentral:lncRNA from 1 species
AUCCCACAACCUGGAGAGUCAGCCCGUAAGCUUUGGAACAGAUUUCUCACAAAGAAGAACCAAAUCGUCGACUGUCCGGAUGCCGAAGCCCUAGCAGCUUUCAAACACAGUGUAUAGGACGAAUGGCUUGCCAGACACCUCGGCCAGGAAAAGCCAAGGACAAUGGCAGCCCUAACAACUCUCAUGACCCGCUAUUGCACGGGCGAGGACAGUUGGUUGGCCCUCAGCAGCACCAGCGAUCCAGGCACAUCCGAAAUCACGGAUGGCAAUGGAAAAUCACGACGCAAUAAAAAAAGUCGAAAUAAUGAAGACAACCCAAACAAUACAGCGGUAAUGUCGGGUGGUAGGUGCGACAUAUGCCAACGGGUGGCUUAUCAUUGUGGGAGCCAAUAAGACAUUGCCGGUGCCUAGAAACGGGAUAAGGUGAAGACAUGCACGCCAGCGAAUCUUACCCAGGUUCAGGGCUCUCCGUGGAGAUAACACUCCUAGUCUUGCUCUGCCGGGUCUCUGCAAGAUCACUAGAUCAACAAGUGGCUACAAGAGGCUCCUUGAGCUGUUUGGCGAGAGGAGGAAGAAAGGGCAAGGCUAGCUCUCUUCUCCUCUCAAAGUUGUGUCUAAAGCUAUCAAAGUCCCACCCUUUGCAUGGGUGCCCUGGGGGGGUUUAUAUAGGCCUACCCCCCAGAGGUACAAUGGUAAUCCGGCUGGGCGCAGGCCCAGCCAUGAGUGCCUAUGCUCGCCGGCUUCUCCGCUGACUGCCUGGGCCCGCCGACUGGUGGGUCCCGCCAGCUGUCAGCCUCCUGGUCGAUAGGUAGGCCCCACCGCUUGGUCUUGUCGGGGGCGGGUUACUGUUGCCUCACUCUUGAUGAUGAGGGCUUUGUCGAGGUAAGCAUGGCUACAGUGCCGCCGCCUAGCGGGCUCUCACUGUAGCCUUACCUCGUCUUGUCUCCUUAAUGGUGCACAUACUUUGAGGAAGGGAGCGAGCCGACUGGGGAGAGCCGGCUUCGUCCCUGGCCGACUAGGGGAAGCGUGGCCACCUUCGGGUGUCUCUCUGACCAAAGGGGCCCACCGCCUGCGGGCCGUACUGACAGCCUGUCGUGGGUGACGUCAUGGUCAGCAUGGUAACAGUGCCACACCGGGCGGGUCAUGGCUGCCCCGUACGGCAUACUGUAGCCAUGCGUUCUCCGGGAUUUGGGGGUGGCAGGCUUCACUGUUGCCACGCCCCGUCCCGUCUCCGUUAUGUGGGUGCAGACUUUGAGGGCACGAUCUUGGCUGCCUGUCGGGGGUCGGCUUCUUGGAGUCGGUCAUGUCGUGGCCGGCUUCUUGGAGUUGGCCCUCCCAUGGUUUCCUUUAUGGCGAUUCUAAGGCCGGGCCGCCUUCCGGCAGUCGGCUUGUGGGGUAGCCGGCCGGGGGAAGGUGGCCCCGUGUCUUGGGUGCUUGAAGGCUUGAUCGGCCUACUAUUUUUUGAAGAGCCAAGGGGAGCCGGCUAGGCUACCCAUGGUUAUUUACUCCGACAAUAGUCCCCGAAGCUGGUUGUGCUUCAUGGCUGAGAGGGGGACGAGAAGCUCAAUCAGCUUCCCACCCUGAAGAGCCGACAGCUAGGAGCCGACUUUACUCAAGCGUGCCAUCUCAGCGAAGUUUCUUGAAAUUUGAAGGCAGGAACCAGUUGGCGCGCGAGCCAGGCUGCGGGCUGGCCGGCCGCCGCCUGUGUGCCACAUGGUGCCCUUCGGCUGGAAGGGCCUGCCAGCCCACGCGCGCGACGGGACGCUGCUGCAGGCCGGGGCCCGCCACUUCCAUGCCUCAGCCCUAGCGCGGAUCUUUUGUGGCCCAAACUGGCCGCACGUCUUCCGACGGCGGUUUCCACUCGCCGUUAAGGCGCAAUAAUCGCGGGACGUGGGGGAGUGGGCGCAGUUAAUCCCACGCCCCCACGCCUCGCCUCCUCGGCUUCGGCGCGUGAGGCCAUAAGUAGGGGGAGGAGGGGGAGCGGCAGUCGCUCGAAUGCUCACCCUCGCUCCGCCAUUCUCUUGUUCUUCUUCCUCUCCGUCACCGCAGCGGCUCUCCACCGUGCCACCGCUCCGCCAAUCCUCUUGGCAUGCUGCGGCCUUGCCACAGCUGAAUCGCGCGCUCUCCGCCGCCGCGCCUUCCCCGUCGCUUCUCUGUCCUCAUGGCUUCGACGUCCAACUCCUGGGACGGCUCCAACGUCCAUGAGGACCACAUCGACUUCCUUCGAAAGACACGGCGAUUGCCGGGCAAGGACUACAUGCGGGUGCGUCUCGCGCCCGAGAGGGAGAUCUCGCCGGUGCCGGAGGAGGGCGAGCGGGUAAUCUUCCGCUCGCACUGCCUGCGCGGUGUCGGCCUGCUCGCGAGCGGCUUCUUCCGCUCGUUUCUCGAGUUUUAUCAUCUCCAGCCGCACCACCUCACUCCAAACACGGUGGUGCUGCUGUCGGCCUUCGUCACCCUGUGCGAAGGCUUCCUCGGCGUUCUCCCCACCCUCGAACUAUGGGGGGAGUUCUUCCAGUCCAAGCUCGGCACCGUCGUUGCGGGCGUGCCGGCUCCAUGCGGCGCCUUCAUCGCCAUGCGGAGAUCGACGACAACCCGUUUUCACCCAUCGCGCUGAUCCAGUCGGUGAAGCUCUGGCAGAAAUCUUACUCCUACGUGAAGAACGUCGCUCCGCAAGGCGACUACGUCAACCUGCCGGCUUACGUAGCCNNNNNNNNNNNNNNNNNNNNNNNNNNNNNNNNNNNNNNNNNNNNNNNNNNNNNNNNNNNNNNNNNNNNNNNNNNNNNNNNNNNNNNNNNNNNNNNNNNNNAAAAAACGACUUUUCGUUGCAACCGAUUUGGUUCUUCAGUUUUCACUGUAUUUGCCAAAUACAUUUCAUAUCUUUCGUGGUAAAGGAACAAAGAAAUCCGUUUUUGGAAUUCCAUCUAGUUUCUUUUAAUAUAUAGUUUGCAUAUGUGUUGUGAUACACAUAAUAAUUUUGUGAUAUGCAUUGGACAAUGUGUAUGAAACUUACAAAUGCCUUGUUUGACCCUGUAGGCCCAGAAAAGGAAGCAAUGUGCAUAAUUGGUGCUUCGCGCAAGAUGUAGCAACAUAGGCAGGACAUUGGUUGUCGCAAAUCACAACAGCGGGUGAUCAUCAGAACAAUUCAGUUACAAAGUUGAAAUAAUUUUUCUAAUUUUUGUUGCUGAUGUAUUAUUGCGAGUUACUCACAUGAUGGGCCCAGUUUGUGCCAUUGCGUUCUUGUGUGCUUCAUCUCUAUAUUCUUACAGUUUUUUUUUGGGAGUAGUCUGCAUCUUAGAUUAGAUAGUACAUUGAAGAAUGCUUAUUCUUCACCCCAGCCAUCACACCCCACGGUCGUAAGAAACCUGGGCAGAAGGUAAGAAACUGAGGCAAAUGUAAGAAAGCCAUCGUGCCCAGCCCCACGAUCCACUGUUGCAAACCACCGGAAGAGAAAACGAAAGAAAUUGGUCUCUCUCACACAAUGUAAAAUUACGUCGGUAAUUUAUUUGUGUGCAACCUGACAAAAGUUAAGCCGGAAAUACAGUGUAAGAAGACUAUUAUGUUUUUUUUCCUUUCUCCUUUGUCCAGGAGGCCUUUUGGCUAAUUAUUGACAGUCAUUAUUUCAAUUUGUACUGUACUGAUGACCUGGCGUAAGGUUGUCUUAUUUUUUUUCUUUCGAAAUGGCAGUUAUCCUGCAUUCAUUAAGAAGAAAAGAGUUGCUCAGUUAAUUAAGAAAAAUCGAGUGGAAACCAGAUUGCCUAGUUAAUUAUGAAGAACCGGAUGAAAACCAUCACGACCGCUGAGCGACACACAUAAGAAACCCACGCACACCCUACCAAAGAGGGCCUCGGCAAGACAGCACAUAGAUGUCAUUGUCAUCACUCUUCCCUUAGAGGCGUCGUUGCCCUCCCUACACUCUGAGCAAAUGACUCCGACUUCGCUAUAGGCGAUCGUCGACUCAACCAACACCGUAGCAGACGUGUGAAGCUGUAUGAAAAUCUGUGCUAAAACUCAGCCACCUGCGGCCAGGCAGCGCAACUCUGACUCUGAUAGAGAACUCUGAAGAACAAAACCAGGCACAGUAGGCGCCAUGGAUGAUCGUCGAACAGGCCACCUGCAGCCGCCGGGGCCCCGCCGCCGCAGCUUCAACUCCACAGCAACAAACAAACCGAGGCAAUACUGUGGACACGCCAAAGAAGAGCUGACUACCGCAACUAUUGCCGCGUCGGCUACAUCGCUCCCACCAUCAUCGUUGCCACAAAAACCUGGACGCCACAACCGGUGCAAACACCCAGUAGCACGCUGCGCCCUGCGCAGCCCACCAGCACCACCUUCCAGGGCCGUUGCCCGACAUGCCACCGCCCGCACUCGAGCUGCAACGCGUCCGCAGCCCUCCGCACGAAACUGAGGGACGAGAGCCCCGCCGCCGCCUUCACCGGCGUUCGCAGGGGCUUCCCCUGCGUCAGACUCUGGUGGCGGCAAGGGGAAAGGUGGGGAGGGAGGGGUGGCGGCGCUUGAACCCUAGUCACACCCCAAGUCACCCUCGGGAGGACGACGCGAGGGCCAGGGAAAGGGCGGCCUGCAAUGUCGAGGAUUCCCGCUGGUUGUCCGCAAGCCUGAUUCCGAUUUUUCUCAGACCCGUCUCGAGAAGGCGCAACCAAUCGCCAGGUGCGCGGAGCCCCCUCUGUGCGUGCUGGCUGGACAGCCCCUCUUUGCGAGCCUGCUGCCCGUGAGGACCUUAGGCCCGGCUGCCGCAAAAGGGGAUGUGUAGCAACGAACGCCGGGUGCAUGCCUACAAACUGACCAUGGUAGGCCAAUUCAGGAAACAAAUAUUACUCAAGGAGUUUGCAUGUCCCGUCGAUGCAAUACAGUACAGUACACCGCUUAUUACAGAGCAAAGUUGAGCAGAAAAUAGGAAUGCUUAACUAGUUCAGCUCCCUCGAAUACAGCAACCAAGAUAAGAUGGAGAAGCAUAAAAACAAUCGACGACAUGGGCAGCCUCUGAACCUUCCGGAACCACCUUCUCCAGUAUCUGAACCCUCCGGAAGAGCACAUAAGCGCUGCCCUCGUGAUGGGCCCGUUGCACCUUUUGCUCCUAUUUAUUCGUCUCCUCCUGUUGGAAAUCCGAGAUUAGGAUGACCGAGUGUUACUACGAAUGAGAGGAAACGUCAUGCACGGUUUUGGGAGGUGAAGAAAACUUACCAGCACCCUCAAGCGCGACAGAGCAUCUUCAUUAAUAUAUUGGAGUAUCCGAUCAAAAAAGGAAGACGGGGCAUCUUCCGCAAUUUGUUCGAACUGCCCAAACAAAAUAAAUUAAAUGAAAACAAAUUAAGCCCGAAACAACAUAGAGACAAGAAGUUAUCACUAAAGUAAAUGGCUGGCCAAUAAUAUGCGAGAUGGAUGGAACAAAUACAGUGUAAAAGAAUCAGGGCAAGCAGUUCCGACAGGUGACUUACGGCCGUCUCAAAAUGAUCACAUAAAUCUGCCACAUCAAAAUAUGAGAGAGUGGGACGGUUGCCAAGUUUCCCAAGAGCAGUUUUGAUAAGUCUGCGAAUUUCAUCCGUAAAGCCACUGUAGCCAAAAAUAGUGAGAUCCACCUUGGUGAGGGCGGAGAGGUGCUGGAUGCCGAAAUCAGAAGCAUAAUUCACGCACGUCACCUCAUGCGCCUUGAUAUCAAUGAGCUCUUAAGAAGGUCUGCAACACCCAAACAUAUGUAUCCUCCGUCUCAUCUGACACAACAGCACAACCGAACACAGUGGUGCAACGAUGAUUGUUUAGACCAACAAAAGGUAUGAAUGGCAUUCUGUGCCUAUUCAUCUUGUAAGUGCUGUCGAAGACGAUUACAUCACCAAAGUCAAGGUAAUCCCGACGUCAUGAGAAUCACACCAGAACAUGUUCUUCAGCUUGCCUUCUGCGUCAAUACUGUGCUCAAAGAAAAAGUCUGGAUCCCUUGCCUUUCUCGUCAUCAUGAUACCAAUCGCAGUGUCUGCAUCACCCUUUGCUAGCAACUUCAUUUUCUCCCUAUAACACAUGUUAUAAAGCUUCCUCCUCCCGAAACCAGCCCGUGCAUAUGAUCCAUACCUACUAAUGAAGGUGUCAUAAAUCCAAUGUUUUUUGAGCCCAGCACCUACCAUUGCUAAGAUCUCGAGCUUCUGGUAUUCCUUUAUCUGAUUAUGAGAUUGAAGAUAUAUAACUUCAUCCGGUCUAGCAAGAGUGUGACUAUGAUCAUCGCUGAAACUGCUGACAUACCAAAUGGAGUGCUCUCUGUCAACCUUCACAGUUAGAUGGGCCUCGCAAUAGCACCGAGUCACCGCUCUCAGCCUGCGCUUCUUCCCUUCCAUGGUACAAAACUUGGCCUGUCGUUUCCCAGACCUUGAACAGAGAAACCUCCUCAAGCGCCUACGUGCGUCGAUACCCUUAUUAUAUUUCAAGUUGUUCUUCCUAAUGCUGAAGCCACGCUUUUUCGCAUAGUCGUUAUAGAAAUCAUAUGCCUCCUCGUCUGUCCUGAACGUCGUUGACAUCACCGUCCAAUGUAUGUCCAGUGAUUCUUGCNNNNNNNNNNNNNNNNNNNNNNNNNNNNNNNNNNNNNNNNNNNNNNNNNNNNNNNNNNNNNNNNNNNNNNNNNNNNNNNNNNNNNNNNNNNNNNNNNNNNCCGGAGCGUUCGGCUCCCACGGGGGGCGAUGAGAAGGGUCCGGCAUAGUUCGGUGUCCGUCCAGACAUACUGACGGGCCUUCUGGAGCGAGCUGCACUAUCGGAAGAGCACUGCUCAUUAAUGAGCAUGGUGCUCAAGAAGAUUUCAUCCACCACAAGCGGUUUGAAUGAAGCAUUUACGAGCCUGCUCAGAGGCUUUGAGGUAUGUAGUGUAAAAUACACAAUUUUUUGGCUGUGAGGCACAUGCUAGGUGUGCUCCAUAUGGGUAGUAGCCCCUGAGACUCUGGUUGCCAGCCCUAGGCAGCAAACGGAGGAUCAUAUCUUGUAAGUAAUGAUUGCGCUGUACAUAUGCGCAUGUAUCUAAGGGUCCGGCAGCCGACCAGUCCGUUGAAGUUGCCGAACUAAGGAGGCAGAUUGGAUCUAUUGAUGCCGAUAUCUCGCUGGUGAACAAGCGACUGAACGAGUCACAAGGCAUGUGUUCUGCUUUCCUUAUUAUGUUGUAUAGGAAAAUAUGAGAGGGGCAUAAUAUUAUGCGACAUGUUUGGACUGCAGACGGUGCUGCUGCCAUGGACGCCCUGAGGGCGGAACUUGCCCAGGCCAAGGAACAAGCUCGGGCUAGCAAUGCAGCUGCCCUAAAGGCGGCUGAAGAGUUGAGAGCCGAACAGGCUGCUCAUCGCUGAAGCAAAGUCAAGAUAGCCGAAAUGGCUGUGGAGUUGAAAAAUGCCACCGACUGGUAUGAGCUCCUUGAAAAGGAGAAUCAGGUUAAUUCGGCUGACCUAAACAAGGCACUUAAUGCAGCCAAGGAGAUGCGGACCAAAAUCAGGGAUGUGCGGGCGGAGCUUCUCCAGGCCAGAAAAAUCGCGACCGGGAGCCCCUACUUAUUGCGGAUGAAGUUUUUGGAUCCGAAGUAUGCUCUCCUGGAUCGACUCUGGAGUCCUGCAGAUGCUUAUGCGGACUUGGCAAAGAGUACAGCUGAUGCCACCAAGUUUUUCGAGGAUCAAGGUGAUAAAGAAGUGGAGAAGUUGUUCUGGUCCCAAUUCAAUGCUCCUGCGCGCCCAUUGCCGUUGAGUGAGAAGAUGGCUGCCAUGGCGGAACUUCAUAGGAUGUCCUGGCUUGCCAUGCGGUCUGUAAUAGACCAUCUUUGGCCGAAGGAGCCGAAGCCGGACAGUUAUUUUGGUUUGGUGCAACAAUUCCUCGGUGUCGUAUCCCAAAUCGAUGCCAUGAGGAGGUCGGCAUGUAUAGAGGGUGCACGGAUGGCACUUGCCCGCGUUAAAGCAUAUUGGACAGAUAUGGAGGCCACUCUCAUUGCGACCCAGAAUCCGGCGGGAGGCCAGGAUCUGGCCGAGCACUACUUGGAGCAGGUAAUAGAAGAUGCUCGCUUAAUAGAGGCUCAGUACUCGAAGAAUGUCAUGUUCGAGUGACAACUCAUGUCAUUGUAAAAACAAUAUUAUUUUGAUUAUGAGGCUGUAUUUAUACUUAUUGCCCGAAAGUAUUAUUUGUGCCUCUUGUGCGUCCGUUUUUAUGUAUAUGUGUAAUUCGGAAAGUUAGCAGUCAUUGGCUUCAGCCCCCACGCAUACAAUGCGGGGGUGUUCGCGAAAAAUAUGCAUAAUCACACUUGAUCCAACGUCUUGGUCCAUUAAGGAGGUGAUCGCACGUCGAACUAGGCAAUCAUACUAUAUAGCUGUAACACUUUCACUUAGCCAUAGGAGUUUGACGGUGGGGCUACUAUGUAGCCCCUAGUACUUUUGCGUGCAUCCGAAUACGGGCGCAUAUGUACAUGACCGGGAAAUGGUCCUUCUUUAAUGCGGAGGAAUCCUAAAGAUUCCGGUAAGUCUUCGAGUGGUUGAACAGUCUCUCGAUGUAUCAUGACAGUCAGGUUUCGGCUUUCUCUACUGAGGUGCUAAUCCAUAAUAACCAGGGCACAAUCGCAGUAGUUCUCCUUUAGCCACCUUAGCCGAUAAGAACGGAACUUAAGGCGGCAAACCCAGGAGCCGGGCAAACCCAGCAUUUGACCAAAGACAUGAUUCGGAGCUGAUGCAUAUAAGGCCAAACUCGUGACGCCGAACACUCCCAAAGGUAUUCGGACUUCGUAACAGAAAGUGGGCUGAAGAACGCCCCUUCAUUAUAAAACCUGUAUUUCCAGGUACGUGCAUUGGUCUGUCGUGGCAAAAUGCCAAUAACGGCAGUAUCCUCUGUGGGUAUAGUACCCAUGGGAUGUGUAAACAACAAGAGGCAAUAUAAAAGGUUUACACAGGGGCUUAAUCUAAAGAGAAACAUUUGUGCUGGUCCCUUCAAGUUCAAGGGGAGAUAUUUGAUGGCGUGGAGAUCAUCUCUGCAAGCCAUAUGAAGGUAGAGAAGAAAAUCCCCAAUCCGAACGGAAGGGUUUGCUGUUCCAUCGUAUUGUUCAAUGUUUACGGGUUUAAACCCUUCUAGAAAUUGCUGUUGCAUUACUUCAUCAGUAAAGCACAUAGGGUGUCCGACACCUCUAUACCUGGCUACAUCGUGAUGUAGUUUGAAUGGCAUCUGUGUUUGGUGCUGACCUCAAACUUGAUUAUGUUCAUUGCGCCAGGUUUGGUGGCCGUCCUCUCGUGCCGGGGCACGUCCUCUGGAUCCAUAGAUUAAUCUGGUCUGACCGGCUUUAUUGGCCAUGUCCUGAUGUAGGUCAUAAGUAUAGUCUGGCGCCGAUGUCUCCCGGCCUCUACGGCGGGGUGGUGUGCGCUGGUGUUCGGCGUGAUGGGCCGGUUUGUCCUAUCCACGUGGUGGCCGGUCUUUGAUCAGCAUAGUUGUAGUUCGACGGAAUUGGCUCAAGGGCUUCAUCAUCGAAUUGUGGCAGCAGCCUGCGCUUGGGACAACACUUUACUGGUCGCUCAAGGCCGUAUUCUUCGGCUGCGAGGACCUUAGUCCACCUAUCAUUGAGCGUGUCCUGUUCAGCUUGAAGCUGCUGCUAUUACUUUUUCAGGCUCCAUGUGGUGGCGAUGAGUUGUCGCUUGAAGCGUUCUUGUUCGAGGGGUUCCUUUCGGACGAUAAAAUCUUUUUUCCCAAGGCUAACAUCCUCUUCGGAGACUAGCAUGUAGUUGUUGUCCUCCGAAUCUUCAUGAUUAGCGUAUUUGGGGCUGUACUGACUCUCUUCCCUCUCGUCUUGUUUAGACGUGGGCUCGACAGGGUGGUCCUUCGGUGUUCUCCGGGGUUUCAUUAUCUCCGAUGUCAGUAGUGCUAUCCUUCGCCCGACGCGAUCAUGAGCGGCGCCGCUAACACCGGCGCUUUGGUGGUUCGGCGACAGGCUUGUCCUUUCCUGGAUCUUGAAUUCCAUUGUCGUCCAUUUCCUCAGGAGUGUCUACCACGUAUACAUCGCAUGUAAAAGGGGCCAUCCAACGCGCUGUAGUGGGCAGGUUUUGGCUUUGCUCAACGUCGACAUCAUCGUCCAUACCGUUGAUGCCUUUGGAAGCGUAGUCUAGCAUGUAGGUUAAAUCCUUGACAGUAGCUACUAAGUGGGUGGGGUGUAAAAUUCCCCGACCUUAGCCCCCAGCCUAUGCUGGGUGUAGUUCGGAGGCGAAGCUUUCGUAAUGGAGAGAGAUUGCAUUAAGCCUAGAGCUUCGUCUAAAAGCGAAAGCUGAAUGGGCUUCUGCGGAUCCGCGAGGCCGGGCACGUGAUUGAAGCCGGUGGGGUGCAGACCUUAGUUAUUUAGAGUUGUCCUCAAGAGGCGAGUCUGGCUCUCCGAUGUCCGUGGGAGUACCGUUUGAUUCCNNNNNNNNNNNNNNNNNNNNNNNNNNNNNNNNNNNNNNNNNNNNNNNNNNNNNNNNNNNNNNNNNNNNNNNNNNNNNNNNNNNNNNNNNNNNNNNNNNNNUUUAGCUUGUUACCUCAGCUACGAUCUUGUGCCCUCGGCAGGAUCUAGUAGAUAGUCAGGCUUCUUAGCCUUUUUCAUUUGUAGAUGUCUGUACUCAGACAUGUUAAGCUUCCGCAUGUGCUUUGCAUUGUAUGCUAUGACUGUUGGGUCAUGAGACCCAUGUUUGUAAUAUCUCGCUCCACGGAGCCUAAUAAAUAAAUACUUUGAGUCACAGAGUCUUGUUGUGAUGCCAUGUUGUAUUUGCACAUAUCGAGCAUAUUGUGUGUAUGAUUGAAAUGCUUGGUAUGUGUGGGAUCCGACAAUAUAGUUGUUUAUCCUUGGCAGCCUCUCUUAUGGGGAAAUGUAGUCAAGUGCUUCCGUGAGCCAUAGUAGUCCGCUACAGCCUGGUUCACCGGAGUCCUGCUAGCCCAGCACUACUGCUCAGGACGCUUGACUGGCCGGCAUGUAUUUCACUUCAUUCUUGUGUCUGUCCCUUCGGGGAAAUGUCACGCGGUGACUCCGGAGUCCUGCCUAGCCUGCUACAGCCCGGGUUCUCGGAGUCCUGUUAGCCCAGUGCUACAGCCCGGAUUCACACGCUGCUGACCGACAUGCUCGAGGUUGAUUCAUGUAUGCCUGUCCCCACGGGUUAGUGCCGCUUUGGGUUCACGACUAGCCAUGUCGGCCCGGGUUCUCUGUCAUAUGGAUGCUAGCAACACUAUCAUAUACAUGAGCCAAAAGGCGCAAACGGUCCCGGGCCAUGGUAAGGCGACACCCGUGGGAAUACCGUGCGUGAGGCCGCAAAGUGAUAUGAGGUGUUACCGGCUAGAUCGAUGUGACUUGGUAUCGGGGUCCUGGCAGCUUUGGUAUCAGAGCCUGACUACCUGUACGAUUACCAAGCCAAACUGGUCGAAGUCGAGUCUAGAAAUGCUUUAGUUAUGUAAGGGAAUUGAUUGUGGAAGGGAACGUAAGGCUCUUUUUACUCCUUAUAUCAUCAUGACCUUCUGAUCUGAGUCAUCUUAUCCUUUCUACAGGGAUUAAGAACUAGGCUUCUCUUCUAUCUCUGAGGAUGAUGUGUUACUAAACCGUAGUUGCCCAGGAUUGUUGAGUUCAAGCCUCAGUUCAGUUCCUACUACUUCUGUAUGUUGACCCUUGAUCCCGGAACUUUGAUAUUGUGAUGUUGAGUGGUUAUGCCACCGUUUUGCAGGAUGUCUCAAAUCUUUUCGAGCAUUUACAGCCAUUAUGCUGUCCGAGUCAUCCGAGGUUUCUAAACAAUCUGAUGCAUUUGCAAAUCCCUUCUUUCCAUUCCGAUGUCUCUUUGGGCCAGUUUAACCACACUAAUCGGUGAGUUGAGGUACUUUGUUGCCUCGACAUAUAUGUUGGAGCUAGUAUUAUGACCCUAGGUGUCUUAGAGGAUCACCUAGUAAAUCUGGCCAUGUUUUGUGUUCCCAGUGUGAUGAAUCUGGCCGUCAUUCUCGAAAGCAUCCCAUGAUGCCAUUUAGUAGUAGGUAUUCUACUCUUGGGUUCCUGACCCAAGAUUCACUCCACUUACCUUCUGUUGAUAGUGUUUGCUAGUUCCUUUAGAAUAUUAGUAACCUUUGCGAUAGUCCUCGAGGCCCGUGGUAUUUCCUUCUUCCAAAUACCAUGAACUACUUAUGGCAGAAGUUCUUUUGAACUAAAAGAUCACAACUAGAGUGAUCUUGAUGGGUUGUCCAUUCUAUAUUGUGGAUCUGCCAGUUCUACCUUUCUGCAUGGGUUAUCCGAAAGAAAUAUGUUGAACUCGUUCGACAUACUAAUCUAUGCAUCCACAACUCAGAAAGUUAUAUGUUCCUUGAGUUGUCCCCCUCUUCAGUUAUAUUCCGACCUUCAUCUAUCAAUUGAUAGUAAGGAGUAUUUGGCAAUCGUGUUUAUCAAUGCCUAUUACUCUAGUGGUCCGUCAAGUCAUUUUAUUUCAGAAUGACUAGGAGAAACAAACUCCAGUACCUGGUCCAUGUCUAGGAUUGGGUUAAAGCAAUUGUACUUCGCAGAUCAAAAUGCCAAUCCAGCUUUUGUUCUAUUCUACCUCGGAGUAUUACCCCCUUUAUGUCAUGAUUGUCAUGAGAAUUGCACCAUCUCUCAUGAAUUUUGAACGCAGUGAUACUUCUCGCCAUCAUUCUUCAUUCCUCAGUCUCCGUGUUGUUGUGACCGGAAUGCCGACAAGUGAACCGCGAUGUGUGAGAUCAAUACUCCUAGCAACCCAGUUGCUUGGUAGUUAAUGGACAAUAAGUUCAUUCUUAGCGUGUUGGUUAUUCAAUCAUCAUUCUAAGAUUAAUCAUGCUACCUAGUCCAUAUUUCCGGUGCACUCUUCGAUCAAUGAGUUAGGAUUAUUCAAUCCCUUACUCUUCUGAUCAUGUCGUCUUGCCUUGAAAAGCAAGAUUGUUCUCGAGCUUAGAGACAUAUCAGUGGCUCGUGAUUUUCCGGAUAUCUUCAUGGGAGUAUCACCAGGUCGUCACCUGACCGCUAUGUUGAGUUCAUGAUCAUGUGGGUUUUCCUCCAAACCACCCAUUCUCCAAGAAUCUGUGAUGGAUACCCUGAGCUAGUUUGGUAAGCUAAACAACAACUUGGAGAGUUGGAAGAUAAAAGCUUGUCCGACUUAGUUCAUCAUUAAGGGAUAUUCUUGGGUAGUGUGUGUUGAAGAAAGAUGAUAUCUUCAUCGAUUGGUCCCUGUGAUCAGUUGUUAGUUCUAUUGCCUUGUCAAAACUUUGACUUGAGUAUGGGCUAUCGUCAAGUCAAAUCAGAACCAACGAUGUUCGUAAUGUUGUCUUACUCGUGGUUGAUCCCUCGAGCAUACACCAUUACAUCUUUUGGUCUGACCAAUGCUAUCACCGUGUUCACAUGAAGGUGGAAGUCCAGUGAUAUGGAAAUACCGAUGAGUUGUUGUUGAGCCCAUCAGCAGCAUUUGUCUCCUCCAUGAUUCAUGUUGGACGUUGCGCUAGUGUUGGAAACUUGGUAAGCCUCGUGCCCCGUUCAUGAAGUAUAUGUUUGGAUGAAAGUAGUGACUUCCUCUAGAUUCAUGUGCAAUUGAUGCAAGUUGCCGCCGUGAAUUCGAGGGAGCUUGUUUUUUUGCUUCCUUUGGAAUCAUCUCAAGCCAGUCAUGCAUUCGUGCGAAGUAUUAUAUGGUUUGGUAGAUUAAUUACCUCCACUCCAUAGGUGUUCCUAGCACACCAAGCCACUGACUGAUUUGCACAAGGAAAAGGAGUCUGUUGUAUUAAUUCUAGAUCAUGCGCAAGACUUCGAUAUCCUCGAUGAUGGUUCGCAGCCAGAACUCGGUAGUGUUUUGUUGUAAGACUACUAUGUGGUCAUGCUUGUCUGGGAUAACGUGUUCACAUGUACGUAGCAAAACCAGCUGAUGUUUUGGAGCUUGCUAUCGUAGUUCAUCUCCCGAGAAUCUCACAACGUCAUCUCGUCGAUUUGUGUUGCAAACUUUCUUUUCCAGACAUGUUGUUUGAAUUAUCCUGUUACCAACCAGAUCUAAAUCUCAGGCAGAUGUGAUGGUUGGAACCUCUUCCAAGAACUAUGAUAUAGGUUCCAGUGAAGUGGACACACCUAGCUGGAAGCACUAUUAUUGUAGUAUCUUGAGUCAGCAAUUUGGCCACCCUUCCAUGAGGAGCUGGUAUGACUUAGAGCAUAAGUUGUUCCUUAUGGGUUCUUUGAGUUUCCGAAGUCAGACCUUUAUUUGAUGUUCCAGAUACCGAAUGGUAUUGUGUUAAGCUGGUACAUGAAGGAGANNNNNNNNNNNNNNNNNNNNNNNNNNNNNNNNNNNNNNNNNNNNNNNNNNNNNNNNNNNNNNNNNNNNNNNNNNNNNNNNNNNNNNNNNNNNNNNNNNNNCAGCCAUUGGUGAGCUUGUCCACGCGAGGUAGGACACAGGGGCCAAGCGGGUGCUGGACUUGCUGCUCCAUCUCCUCCAGCGAAGAGAGCUCGUCGGGGAUGGCCGCUUCGAGGAGGGCGUCCUGUACACCACUGGAUGGGUGGAGAAGGCAAUAGGCAUUAGUAGCACAGAAAUCAACCCUAAUAAAUAGUUCAUAUUUGACAACACAAGCAGCCUUUCCAAUAUGAUGAUUCUCAAGAAAGAGAAAAACAUUAUCCAAGAAAUCAAGAAACAAAAGUGAAAUGCUAGAUAGCAGCAUAACCAUUCAUUCAGGGAACAUAAGAGGUGGCAAAAGCAGCAGCAGGUAAUCCUUAUAACUAGAGGCUAAGCAUCCAGAGUUGGCUAUAGUUAGCUACUUCAUAGCAACUAACACCGGCCAAUAAAAAGUAGCACAAGUACUAGAUACCUAUGAGGGUGUGAACUUGGUGCCAAUCAGUUGGCCAACCUUGUGGAUAUGGAGAUCUUGUUUGUACCAGUACAAUUAGCAAGCAGUUGUCUAUUAUCGAAGCCAUUUCAUUUGCAACGGUAUCAUAAUAAAAAUGUAAUGUAAAAUCCUGGUGUUGUCACUAGCACUAUAGCAACAGUACUUAUCAGAAAUUACAUUAGCUUCUUAAAAAUGGAAAGGAGGAAUUGCAUCCUCAAUCAAGUAUGCUGGCAAUCAAGGCCGGUUAUGAGAUCUCAGGGGCCCGAGGCGAACUAGAAAACAGGGCCCCAUACAAAGCAUGGCACCAAAACGAGUGAUUUAUAUCGACCAAAGGUGAUAUAUAUUGUUUUGAGGAGCUUUAUCGUGAACGAUAACAAGGUGUAAUCCAUUUGAAAAAAAGGUGUGAAGCUGAUAUAUGUACACAAUGUGAUUGAAAUUCAUGUAAAGAAGAACAGUGGUAUUAGAUCUUAUGGCGUUUCUAUUUUUUGUUGUUGGAAGUUAGACAGAUGGAAGACAAUAACUUAUCUUUUGCCAAAAUCAUUUUCCCUUAGUUCUGGUACAAGUUUGUAGUAUUUCUACAGGCACAAUCCGACAUUCUGACUUGGACCAAUCUAACAAAAUGAGAUUAAUGUUGGAAGCUGAUAUAAAUACAGUCAGAGGAUUGACCAUGGAUUUUCAGCAUGAAUUCAUCAUAAAAUUCGCCUAGCUAGAAUUAACAAGUCCUGACCCAAAUCAUACACAAAAUCAGCGGAAAAGAAAGCACAGCAGAACCCCAUGUUGUUACCUGGUUGUCAACCCAACAGAACCCCCAAUCAGCCAAUUAGGCAGAUAAGUAUGGCGCACCAAUUAGCUGGCUGUCGCAGAACCCUAUAGGCAGAUAAGCAUGGCGCAUCAGCAAUCAGUCGUACUGUUUGUUAAAAGAGUAUUUUGUCCAUGUGUAGAAGCAAAUAUAGAAACUGAUCUUGAUAAUAUUUGGCAUACCGCAUACCCAAUAACAGAUUAAGGUGCAUAUUUGAUAGCACAAGCAGCAAUUUUUCCCCAAAAUUAAAAAUAAGAUUACCAAGCUACAGACUAACCACAUCCAGCACAAGCAAUUUGUCCCAUCAAAUGUUUACUAACGGCAGUAUAGGCACAACAGCACAACCUUACCUAGCGCCAUGGCCAUUGUUCAGGGGCGGGGCAUGCUUAUGUUGUACUGGCGCUUCUCCUUGGAGUUUGAGGAUGAGGAGCAGCACACGCACUCGCCGCAGCUGUCGUCGAGCAGGACAAGCCACGGUGCCCACCCUCGUCCCGGACGGGCGGCUGCAGGUGCGCCGCGUCCAUGGAUCCUACGGGAUGAGGUCCUCCGUGCUGCCCUGCUCGAGGUGGACCAUCAGGAAGCGAGGGCGCGCGUGGGGGCGCUGUAGACGAUGGAGAAGAGGCGCCAUAGGCGGCCGUAGAAGGGCCGACGAUGAAGGCGAUGCCGGAUGCCGAAACCCUAGCACGGGAAGUGGUUUUGGGAAAGCAGUUGAGGUCGAGAGGGGGAAAUCUUGCCGGAGGGAAGGAUGGAUCCGAGCGAGGCGAGCUCGGUGGUGUGCUCCACCCCGGCAAUAUCCGCCGGAAUCGCCCGAAUCGGGAGCGGCGGCUGUGGCGGCUGAGGGAACGGAGGAGAGGAUGGGGGUUAGGGUUACAUGGGUGUGGACUUUGGAUUAAAUAGGCUGGCUCGAAAUUUUUGCCACCGCCCGCGUCAGCGACUUAAAAUUUUGCACGUCCACGCGCUCUCGAAACUUCUGGCGCGUCCGCUUUUUUAUUUUUAUAUAUGCAUAUAUACUGUUGACUACAUUCAACUGAAAUAUGGGCCAACCCACCAGCCACACACUACACAUCAGUAGGAGUCAUCGGUGACGGACUGGAUAAUGUAUAAAAAAUCGAAUGGCUUGACCGAGUAAGUUGAUUUGUGACCAUUUUCAUGACAGUCCAUCAUGUCCAUCAUAAAAGGGCUACCUUCUUAGGUGGGCAGUCACAUUCUAUUGAUCCACGACGGUUUCCAUGACGGAUAGUAGAAAACCGUCAUCACCGGUGACGAUUUCUGAGAACGUCAUCAGAAAUCCGUCACGUAUUAACAGGUUUCUUGUAGUGUUCGUGUUUGCCGGUGAUCUACAACUACAAGUGGCAUCAGAGCCUCGGUGGUGUUCGGUCCAUCCUGGGCGCCGACGGUGUUUGAUCCGUCGGAGAGAUGGUCGGAAGCGACGAGGAGAAGGAACAGAAGAAGCUAAAGGAGGAACAGGCCAAGGCGGAGGCCUCGGCACUUGGGAAGUCCCUAGCCCGUCUCUCCACCGAGCAGGGAUGGAGCCAGAAAAUGAAGAUAGGGGGGCAAGAACUCGAAGCACUAAAAUCAUAGUAGGAUACAUGAUCAUAUACCUAGUAAAUAAUGAAAGAUCUAGAUAGUAAAUAUAUGUCUGUUGUUCUAUAAUAAUAAAAAAUUCAUAUCUAUUACCCCGCAAAAAAAUUUGAGUUGGUGUUUAGUUGCAUUUCGUUUGCAUCAGCAUCAUGUUCACAUGGCAGCGAGCUGGAAACAAUUGGCUUAAAAAUAUGAAUUGAUUCAGCCCUUUCUCUUUGUGUCUACACAGAUACAAUCAGGCGUCUAUUGAACGAACGUUCAGACAAUAUCCAUCUCGCAGGAUAGAAUUUGUAUAAUCUGAUUUUGCUAGCGCGACGUGAAUGCGUGAUUACGAACACAUAUUGCUAGCACGCCAUUGGCAAAUACGCCUGCACACCAUAGCACGCGCCCUAGUAGAUUCCUUUGACAAUUAGACUAAUUAGAAUUUACUAGUUAGUUGUAAAUGUUUCCAGUUCUAUAAUUCCAUUUAUACAAUUUGAAGGCAUAGAUAAACUAAUCUAAUGCUGAAAGUAAACUAACCCCUUUUUCUUUUGGUUUGGUCACUCCCUGUGGCCAGCCGGCCGGCAGCGCGCUCGUGAUCAUGGAUCGGCGACACUACCGCUGCCUGUCCCCUCCCCUCAACGAAGAGAUUCGACUCAGGAUCUCAGGCGGCCGGCGGUACGCUCGAUCUCAGGCGGCAGGAGUAGUGGGGAGGUUGGAAACGAAGCGAUUAGAGGAGAUCUUAAUCAUGCGUACGUUUUUUUAGGGAUGAAACUAUGUUUUUUUUGAGGCAAACCAACAAAGCUUUAUUCACCCGUCACACAGUUUACAGGGACGAACAAAAGAUCCCCAGGGUGGCCUAACCAUACAUGGCGGCCAACCCCGAGCGUUAACGCAUGCUUUGCUAGUCUGUGAGCCUCNNNNNNNNNNNNNNNNNNNNNNNNNNNNNNNNNNNNNNNNNNNNNNNNNNNNNNNNNNNNNNNNNNNNNNNNNNNNNNNNNNNNNNNNNNNNNNNNNNNNUGGCAAGCCGACAGGAAAAGUGUUUCAUGCUAAACCGGUCACCGCUUCACGUGGCCAUGUCAACUGUAUCUCUGCCGAAGAAGCUCAAGAAGAUCCCAACGUCGUUCUCGGUACGCUUCUUGUUAAUUGCCACCCGGCAUCUGUUCUUUUCGAUACAGGAGCCUCUCAUUCUUUUAUAUCUGAAAAUUAUGCUCGUUUGCAUAACGUUGCAUUCUGUGACUUGCCAUCCUCCAUGGUAAUUCAAACUCCGGGAUCCAAAUGGCAAACUUCUAGAGUAAGCCAUGGAAAUGAAAUCCAAGUCGAUAGACUUGUUUUCCUCGCAUCUUUGAUAGCCCUUAAAUCUUCAGAUAUUAAUAUCAUUUUGGGUAUGGACUGGAUGUCAGCUCAUCAAGCCAAAAUUGAUUGCUUCUCUAGGACUGUUCAACUCACCCAUCCUUCGGGAAAGAUAGUCAAUGUCUUGACCCGAAUAGCCAAGCGACAAUUAUUUUCUCUUAACGCCAGCCCUUUGCCAGACCUUGAGGACGUUCCGGUAGUCCGUGACUUCCCGGAUGUCUUUCCAGAGGAAUUGCCAGGUAUUCCACCUGACAGGGAUGUUGAGUUCGUAAUAGAUCUCAUUCCAGGAACCGUUCCGAUUGCUAGAAGACCUUAUAAGAUGGCACCCCUAGAACUAGCCGAGCUUAAGAAACAACUCGAUGAAUCCUUGAAAAAGGGUUUCAUCCGCCCUAGUUCAUCUCCGUGGGCUUGCCCCGUCCUAUUCGUUAAGAAAAAGGAUGGUACGGACCGGAUGGUUGUAGAUUACCGACCUGUCAAUUUGGUCACAAUCAAGAACAAAUACCCACUUCCCAGGAUCAACGAUCUGUAUGAUCAGCUCGCUGGAUCCUCAGUCUUCUCCAAGAUGGAUUUGAGGUUGGGCUACCAUCAAAUCAAAAUCAGAAACGGGGACAUUCCUAAAACGGCCUUUGUUACUCGUUAUGGCCAAUACGAGUACACCGUCAUGUCCUUCGGUCUAACCAACGCUCCAGCCACUUUUUCUCGGUUAAUGAACUCAAUCUUCAUGGAGUAUUUGGAUAAAUUCGUCGUGGUUUACCUCGAUGACAUACUCAUCUACUCCAAGAACGAGGAAGAACAUGCCGAACAUUUAAGGCUAGUGUUGAAGAAACUUCGAGAGCAUCGCCUUUAUGCCAAAUUCUCAAAAUGUGAAUUCUGGUUGUCAGAAGUGACCUAUCUGGGUCAUGUAAUAUCGGGUAAAGGUAUUGCUGUUAACCCUGAGCGAGUUCAAGCUAUCCUUGAUUGGACUCCACCUGAAUCGGUCAAGCAAGUUCGGAGUUUUCUAGGCUUAGCAAGCUAUUGCCGUCGCUUUGUCGAGAACUUCUCCAAAGUUGCUAAACCUCUAACCGAACUCCUCAAGAAAGAUAAGAAGUUCGAAUGGACUCCACAAUGUGAGCACAGCUUUCAGGAACUGAAAAGACGCCUGACCUCCGCUCCCGUACUGGUACCGCCAGACUUCUCCAAGGACUUUGUUAUCUACUGCGACGCCUCGCGACAAGGACUAGGUUGCAUUCUCAUGCAAGAUCGACACGUAAUUGCCUACGCUUCACGGCAGUUGCACCCACAUGAGGAGAAUUAUCCUACUCAUGAUCUAGAGCUUGCAGCCGUAGUCUAUGCACUUAAAACCUGGCGACAUUACCUCCUCGGUAAUCGUUGCGAAAUAUUCACUGAUCACCAAAGUCUGAAGUACAUCUUCACCCAACCGGAUCUGAAUCUCAGGCAAAGACGUUGGGUUGAAUUGAUCACAGACUUCGACUUAGGCAUAACCUACACCCCGGGGAAAGCCAACGUCAUGGCUGAUGCGCUAAGUCGUAAAUCUUAUUGUAACAACCUGAUGUUACAACAAAGUCAACCGCUUCUCCAUGAGGAAUUUCGGAAGCUUAACCUUCACAUUGUACCUCAAGGUUUUCUUUCCACCUUGGUAGCAAAACCUACUCUUACGGAUCAAAUCAUCGCUGCCCAAAAGCGAGAUAAGGGAAUAUCUAAAAUCAAAGAGAACAUUGCUAGCGGAGGUGCUAGUUGUUUCUCCACAAAUGAUCAUGGUGUUGUGUACUUUGAGGACCGUCUAGUGGUUCCCAAGAACCAGCAUCUACGGCAGUUGAUCCUUAAGGAGGCUCAUGAAUCUCCUCUCACCAUUCAUCCCGGUAGUACUAAGAUGUAUCAGGACCUACGCCAGAGGUUCUGGUGGACUAGGAUGAAGAGAGAAAUUGCUCAGUAUAUUGCCAAUUGCGACGUCUGUCGUCGUGUAAAGGCAGAGCAUCAACGGCCUGCUGGCACCCUUCAACCCUUAGCUAUUCCUGAAUGGAAAUGGGAUAAAAUUGGUAUGGAUUUCAUUACCGGUUUUCCUAGGACCAAAAGAGGGAAUAAUGCCAUUUUCGUUGUGGUCGAUCGUCUUUCCAAGGUAGCUCAUUUCCUACCUGUUCGUGAGAGUAUAACCGCUAGUCAGCUGGCAGACUUAUACAUCUCCCGAAUAGUGUCCCUCCAUGGUGUUCCUUUGGAAAUCAAUUCGGAUCGAGGAAGUCUUUUCACCUCUCGAUUUUGGGAAAGUUUCCAAAAUGCUAUGGGAACCCGUCUCUCCUUUAGCACCGCUUUCCACCCUCAGUCAAGUGGUCAAGUGGAACGCGUCAACCAAAUUCUAGAAGACAUGCUUCGAGCCUCUGUUAUCUCGUUCGGAAUGGACUGGGAGAAGUGCCUUCCAUUUGCCGAAUUCGCUUACAACAACAGCUAUCAAUCUAGCUUGGGUAAAGCCCCUUUUGAAGUUCUCUAUGGACGACGAUGUCGAACACCCCUUAACUGGUCAGAGACCGGGGAAAGACAAUUCUUUGGCCCGGAUAUGGUUCAGGAAGCAGAAGAACAAGUUCGUAUCGUUCGUGAAAAGUUGAAAACAGCCCAAUCCCGUCAAAAGAGUCAAUAUGACCGAAAACAUAAGGCUAUGACCUUCGAGGUUGACGAGAAGGCUUAUCUUCGGGUCACCCCUCUGAAGGGAACCCAUCGCUUCGGUAUCAAGGGCAAAUUGGCUCCUCGUUACAUUGGACCUUUUCGCAUUCUUGCCAAACGAGGAGAAGUUGCCUACCAAUUGGAACUACCUCCGCACCUCUCCAGAGUUCACGAUGUCUUCCACGUCUCUCAACUCAGGCGUUGCUUCUCGGAUCCUAUCCGUGAAGUGGACCACGAAACGCUUGAUCUCCAAGAUAAUCUUACAUAUCGAGAGUACCCCAUUCGUAUCCUCGAUCAGGCCGAGCGUACCACUCGACGUCAUAAUAUCAAGUUCCUCAAAGUUCAGUGGUCUCAUCAUUCUGAGGAUGAAGCAACUUGGGAAAGGGAGGAUCGUCUUCGACUCGAGUAUCCCGCCUUCUUCUCGGAGGAACCCAAAUCUCGGGACGAGAUUCUUUUGAGUGGGGGUGAGUUGUCACACCCUAGCUAGUCAUGCAUUAGAGUGUUGCAUCAUGUUUACUCUUUCAUCAGAAACUUGAAAUGGGGAUGACAGAACCCCCAGUCCCCUCUGAAACCAACUAGGGUUUACUAAAAUAAUUUUCAAUGAACCUGAAAUGCCCUUCUAAAAUGCCCAUCAUUUUUGUCUUGGUUCAGAACCUCUGCCAAAAGUGGUGCACAUUUUCCUAGGCCAUCCUAGGGUUUUGAAUUAAAUCAUAACUAUUUGAAUUUGGGCAUUUAAAAUAAUAUAAAAUAUUUAAAUGNNNNNNNNNNNNNNNNNNNNNNNNNNNNNNNNNNNNNNNNNNNNNNNNNNNNNNNNNNNNNNNNNNNNNNNNNNNNNNNNNNNNNNNNNNNNNNNNNNNNGGAGCCAGCUAAGAAGCCACCCCCUCAGGCUUCAUCUCCACUGCUAACUUUGAGCUUCCCAAGCCUGCGCGCUGCCCCUGACGCGGGUUCGGCUGGAGAGGUGGGCCGACCAGCAGUGUGCCUUGAGCCUGGGUCUUUGCCGCCUUUCCAUCGCGACCUUGCCCGGGACGUGAUCAGCUUGCCCUAGGCCCCUCCUCUGAUCGUGAACAGUGAAUGGUUGAAGUCGAUCUUCGGCUCUUCUUCUGGGGAUGGAUCUGCACUGGCCUGGGUCCCUUGCGGGGCCCAUCCAGCGAUUGUGGGGGCACCAGCCCCUAGCCCCCUGUCGAGAGGGGGCGAACCACUUCAGGGCCCUCCGCCAACACCGGCGGCGGAGGACGAUAUCGACGACAUGCUCAAGCGUGUGUGGGAGUGCAGCGCCAUCCGCUAAGAGUUUCUCCGGAAGGCGACAGACGCGAUGGGCCAGCUCGGUGGAGAGCUCGCGGACGUGGACGCGUGUCUUGAAGCCGAAGGCCUGCGGCUGGUUGAGGAGCGGUGCAAGCUAAAGGUGGGAGUCAUCCUUGCGUGUCAUCAGCGUGAUCUUGAAAACACAAAGGCCGAAGCAUCCCUUGUGGCCUCGCGAAAGGCCUUCUCCCGAGCCAUUGAGGACGCUCAGGAGGCAGACCGAUGUCGCGAGAUCGCGGAGAGGCGCGCGUGGCAGCUCCAAGCCUGGAGUACUUCCCUGGAGCAGCAAGUGGAGCUGCGCCAAGCUGCCCUUGCGUUGCUGAAGGGGAUGCCUGUCGAAGAGGAGGAGCUCCAGAAGCGCGAGGAAUCGCUAACGCUGGAGGCUGCCGAGCGCAACCUCGAUCUUGAGCGGUUGGAGACGAGGGAGCACCAGGUUACCCAGGCGGAGGACGACGUCGGUGCGCGGGAGGCCCGAAUCCAAGAAGAGAUCGAACGCCGCGUAGCGGAAGUCCACGCGGGCCUUGUGUGUGAGUAUGGUGAGAAGUUGGAGCUGAUCGAAGUCGAGGCUGCGAGCAGGACUGCCGCUCUCAGGACCAAGUUGACCGAAGCGACGCGGUGCGCGGAGGCCACCACAGCUGCCCUAGCCACGGCGCAGGCCGAGUGGGUCUCGUCCCUUGUUGAGUUGCUUCUUCUCCAACAGAGGGUCGAUGACGCCGAGGCCAUUGCUCGGCGGAACGAAGAAGAGAUUGCCAGACGCUGGAGCACAUGCAUGACCCCAUGCUCCAAACGCUCAGGGACAGGGCCAACACGGACCUUGGCAAUAUCUGUGAUGCGACUGCUAGACAACCUCAUGUGACCAAGUAUGCCGGCAAUCUCCAGUUAUUCACUGACGUGGUGACGCAUAUGGAGAAGGAACAAUGCUACUAUCCUUUUUACCACACUUGUGCUUUAAAGUAGCACGAUGAUCUUCAUGAUAGAGAGUCUCCUAUGUUGUCACUUUCAUAUACUAGUGGGAAUUUUUCAUUAUAGAACUUGGCUUGUAUAUUCCAAUGAUGGGCUUCCUCAAAAUGCCAUAGGUCUUCGUGAGCAAGUGAGUUGGAUGCACACCCACUUAGUUUCUUUUAUUGAGCUUUCAUACAUUUAUAGCUCUAGUGCAUCCGUUGCAUGGCAAUCCCUACUCACUCAGAUUGAUAUCUAUUAAUGGGCAUCUCCAUAGCCCUUUGAUACACCUAGUUGAUGUGAGACUAUCUUCUCCUUUUUUGUCUUCUCCACAACCACCAUUCUAUUCCACAUAUAGUGCUAUGUCCAUGGAUCACGCUCGUGUAUUGCAUGAAAGUUGAAAAAGUUCGAGAUUGCUAAAGUAUGAAACAAUUGCUUGGCUUGUCAUCGGGGUUGUGCAUGAUUAAAUACUUUGUGUGAUGAAGAUAGAGCAACAGCUAGACUAUAUGAUUUUGUAGGGAUAACUUCCGUUAGCCAUGUUAUUUUGAGAAGACAUGAUUGCUUUGAUUAGUAUGCUUGAAGUAUUACUAGUUCUUAUGUCAAUAUGAACUUUUAUUUUGAAUCAUUUGGAUCUGAACAUUCAUGCCACAAUAAAGAAAAUUACAUUGAGAAUUAUGCUAGGUAGCAUUCAACAUCAAAAAUUCUGUUUUUAUCAUUACCUACUAGAGGACGAGCAAGAAUUAAGCUUGGGGAUGGUUGAUACGUCUCCAAAGUAUCUAUAAUUUUUUAUUGUUCCAUGUUAUUAUAUUACCUGUUUUGGAUGUUUAUGGGCUUUAUUUUACACAUUUACAUCAUUUUUGGGACUAACCUACUAACCGGAGGCCCAGCCUUUAUUGAUGUUUUUUUUGCCUAUUUCAGUAUUUCGAAGAAAAGGAAUAUCAAACGGAGUCCAAAUGCAAUGAAACUUUCGGGAGUGUGAUUUUUGGAAUGAACGUGACCCAGAGGACUUGGAGUGCAAGUCAAGAGGCAGCCGAGGCUGCCACAAGGGUGGAGGGCGCGCCCACCCCCUGUAGGGCGCGCCCCCUAUCUCGUGGGCCCCUCAGGCGGCCACCGACCUACUUCUUCCUCCUAUAUAUACCCACGUACCCCGAGAACAUCAGAACAAGCCAUGAAAACCUAAUUCCACCACCGCAACAUUCUGCAUCCGCGAGAUCCCAUCUUGGAGCCUUCGUCGGUGCUCCGCCAGAGGGGGAAUCGACCAUGGAGGGCUUCUACAUCAACACCAUAGCCCCUCCGAUGAGUUGUAAGUAGUUUACCAUAGACCUUCAGGUCCAUAGUUAUUAGCUAGAUGGCUUCUUCUCUCUUUUUGGAUCUCAAUACCAUGUUUACCCCGAUCUUCUUGGAGAUCUAUUCGAUGUAACUCUUUUUGCGGUGUGUUUGUCGAGAUCCAAUGAAUUGUGGGUUUAUGAUCAAGUUUAUCUAUGAGAAAUAUUUGAAUCUCCUCUGAAUUCUUUUAUGUAUGAUAUAGUUAUCUUUGCAAGUCUCUUCGAGUUAUCAGUUUGGUUUGGCCUACUAGAUUGAUCUUUCUUGCAAUGGGAGAAGUGCUUAGCUUUGGGUUCAAUCUUGCGGUGUCCUUUCCCAGUGACAACAGGGGCAGCAAGGCACGUGUUGUAUUGUUGCCAUCGAGGAUAAAAAGAUGGGGUUUAUGUCAUAUUGCAUGAGUUUAUCCCUCUACAUCAUGUCAUCUUUCUUAAUGCGUUACUUUGUUCUUAUGAACUUAAUACUCUAGAUGCAUGCUGGAUAGCGGUCGAUGUUGUAAAGCCCAGGUAAUUAAGCUACAGUAAUCCCACGCUAAUGGUGCCACGUCACCACAGUUAUUGUUGUUAACCGUGCGAUGAUUCAAAACCAUUUCAAAAUUUAAAUUUAAAUUAAUGUCAACAAUAAAAGUUUUCAAAAUUUAAAACAAAAUUGUUCGGGAGGUGCCAUAUUUUGCAUAAGUAAAUAUGGUGUAAUAAACACAUUUUUAUAAAAUGCCUAGAUAAUUUAAAAUAAUUUAAAACAAAAAAGAAAUUACAAAAUAGAAAGAAACAAACAACCAAAAUAAAUAAAUAAAUGGACCCCCCCACUGGGCCUCGACCCAGCCGGCCCAAUCGGCCCAACCAUCCCGCACCCCCAUAACCUUCCCCACUCCUCCAGCUCGCCCACCGACACCCACACUCCCCCACCCCCGAAAUAUCCCCCCUCUCCCCCGAUUGGAUCGUGAUCGAGGGGGAGCCGCUCACCGCCGCGUCCCGAUGCCGUCUCGCCGCGAGGCCGCACCGCCAUCGCCGUCACCAUUCACCGGAGGAGCCUUGCCAGAGCUCNNNNNNNNNNNNNNNNNNNNNNNNNNNNNNNNNNNNNNNNNNNNNNNNNNNNNNNNNNNNNNNNNNNNNNNNNNNNNNNNNNNNNNNNNNNNNNNNNNNNGGAGCCAGCUAAGAAGCCACCCCCUCAGGCUUCAUCUCCACUGCUAACUUUGAGCUUCCCAAGCCUGCGCGCUGCCCCUGACGCGGGUUCGGCUGGAGAGGUGGGCCGACCAGCAGUGUGCCUUGAGCCUGGGUCUUUGCCGCCUUUCCAUCGCGACCUUGCCCGGGACGUGAUCAGCUUGCCCUAGGCCCCUCCUCUGAUCGUGAACAGUGAAUGGUUGAAGUCGAUCUUCGGCUCUUCUUCUGGGGAUGGAUCUGCACUGGCCUGGGUCCCUUGCGGGGCCCAUCCAGCGAUUGUGGGGGCACCAGCCCCUAGCCCCCUGUCGAGAGGGGGCGAACCACUUCAGGGCCCUCCGCCAACACCGGCGGCGGAGGACGAUAUCGACGACAUGCUCAAGCGUGUGUGGGAGUGCAGCGCCAUCCGCUAAGAGUUUCUCCGGAAGGCGACAGACGCGAUGGGCCAGCUCGGUGGAGAGCUCGCGGACGUGGACGCGUGUCUUGAAGCCGAAGGCCUGCGGCUGGUUGAGGAGCGGUGCAAGCUAAAGGUGGGAGUCAUCCUUGCGUGUCAUCAGCGUGAUCUUGAAAACACAAAGGCCGAAGCAUCCCUUGUGGCCUCGCGAAAGGCCUUCUCCCGAGCCAUUGAGGACGCUCAGGAGGCAGACCGAUGUCGCGAGAUCGCGGAGAGGCGCGCGUGGCAGCUCCAAGCCUGGAGUACUUCCCUGGAGCAGCAAGUGGAGCUGCGCCAAGCUGCCCUUGCGUUGCUGAAGGGGAUGCCUGUCGAAGAGGAGGAGCUCCAGAAGCGCGAGGAAUCGCUGACGCUGGAGGCUGCCGAGCGCAACCUCGAUCUUGAGCGGUUGGAGACGAGGGAGCACCAGGUUACCCAGGCGGAGGACGACGUCGGUGCGCGGGAGGCCCGAAUCCAAGAAGAGAUCGAACGCCGCGUAGCGGAAGUCCGCGCGGGCCUUGUGUGUGAGUAUGGUGAGAAGUUGGAGCUGAUCGAAGUCGAGGCUGCGAGCAGGACUGCCGCUCUCAGGACCAAGUUGACCGAAGCGACGCGGUGCGCGGAGGCCACCACAGCUGCCCUAGCCACGGCGCAGGCCGAGUGGGUCUCGUCCCUUGUUGAGUUGCUUCUUCUCCAACAGAGGGUCGAUGACGCCGAGGCCAUUGCUCGGCGGAACGAAGAAGAGAUUGCCAGACGCUGGAGCACAUGCAUGACCCCAUGCUCCAAACGCUCAGGGACAGGGCCAACACGGACCUUGGCAAUAUCUGUGAUGCGACUGCUAGACAACCUCAUGUGACCAAGUAUGCCGGCAAUCUCCAGUUAUUCACUGACGUGGUGACGCAUCUGGAGAAGGAACAAUGCUACUAUCCUUUUUACCACACUUGUGCUUUAAAGUAGCACGAUGAUCUUCAUGAUAGAGAGUCUCCUAUGUUGUCACUUUCAUAUACUAGUGGGAAUUUUUCAUUAUAGAACUUGGCUUGUAUAUUCCAAUGAUGGGCUUCCUCAAAAUGCCAUAGGUCUUCGUGAGCAAGUGAGUUGGAUGCACACCCACUUAGUUUCUUUUAUUGAGCUUUCAUACAUUUAUAGCUCUAGUGCAUCCGUUGCAUGGCAAUCCCUACUCACUCAGAUUGAUAUCUAUUAAUGGGCAUCUCCAUAGCCCUUUGAUACACCUAGUUGAUGUGAGACUAUCUUCUCCUUUUUUGUCUUCUCCACAACCACCAUUCUAUUCCACAUAUAGUGCUAUGUCCAUGGAUCACGCUCGUGUAUUGCAUGAAAGUUGAAAAAGUUCGAGAUUGCUAAAGUAUGAAACAAUUGCUUGGCUUGUCAUCGGGGUUGUGCAUGAUUAAAUACUUUGUGUGAUGAAGAUAGAGCAACAGCUAGACUAUAUGAUUUUGUAGGGAUAACUUCCGUUAGCCAUGUUAUUUUGAGAAGACAUGAUUGCUUUGAUUAGUAUGCUUGAAGUAUUACUAGUUCUUAUGUCAAUAUGAACUUUUAUUUUGAAUCAUUUGGAUCUGAACAUUCAUGCCACAAUAAAGAAAAUUACAUUGAGAAUUAUGCUAGGUAGCAUUCAACAUCAAAAAUUCUGUUUUUAUCAUUACCUACUAGAGGACGAGCAAGAAUUAAGCUUGGGGAUGGUUGAUACGUCUCCAAAGUAUCUAUAAUUUUUUAUUGUUCCAUGUUAUUAUAUUACCUGUUUUGGAUGUUUAUGGGCUUUAUUUUACACAUUUACAUCAUUUUUGGGACUAACCUACUAACCGGAGGCCCAGCCUUUAUUGAUGUUUUUUUUGCCUAUUUCAGUAUUUCGAAGAAAAGGAAUAUCAAACGGAGUCCAAAUGCAAUGAAACUUUCGGGAGUGUGAUUUUUGGAAUGAACGUGACCCAGAGGACUUGGAGUGCAAGUCAAGAGGCAGCCGAGGCUGCCACAAGGGUGGAGGGCGCGCCCACCCCCUGUAGGGCGCGCCCCCUAUCUCGUGGGCCCCUCAGGCGGCCACCGACCUACUUCUUCCUCCUAUAUAUACCCACGUACCCCGAGAACAUCAGAACAAGCCAUGAAAACCUAAUUCCACCACCGCAACAUUCUGCAUCCGCGAGAUCCCAUCUUGGAGCCUUCGUCGGUGCUCCGCCAGAGGGGGAAUCGACCAUGGAGGGCUUCUACAUCAACACCAUAGCCCCUCCGAUGAGUUGUAAGUAGUUUACCAUAGACCUUCAGGUCCAUAGUUAUUAGCUAGAUGGCUUCUUCUCUCUUUUUGGAUCUCAAUACCAUGUUUACCCCGAUCUUCUUGGAGAUCUAUUCGAUGUAACUCUUUUUGCGGUGUGUUUGUCGAGAUCCAAUGAAUUGUGGGUUUAUGAUCAAGUUUAUCUAUGAGAAAUAUUUGAAUCUCCUCUGAAUUCUUUUAUGUAUGAUAUAGUUAUCUUUGCAAGUCUCUUCGAGUUAUCAGUUUGGUUUGGCCUACUAGAUUGAUCUUUCUUGCAAUGGGAGAAGUGCUUAGCUUUGGGUUCAAUCUUGCGGUGUCCUUUCCCAGUGACAACAGGGGCAGCAAGGCACGUGUUGUAUUGUUGCCAUCGAGGAUAAAAAGAUGGGGUUUAUGUCAUAUUGCAUGAGUUUAUCCCUCUACAUCAUGUCAUCUUUCUUAAUGCGUUACUUUGUUCUUAUGAACUUAAUACUCUAGAUGCAUGCUGGAUAGCGGUCGAUGUUGUAAAGCCCAGGUAAUUAAGCUACAGUAAUCCCACGCUAAUGGUGCCACGUCACCACAGUUAUUGUUGUUAACCGUGCGAUGAUUCAAAACCAUUUCAAAAUUUAAAUUUAAAUUAAUGUCAACAAUAAAAGUUUUCAAAAUUUAAAACAAAAUUGUUCGGGAGGUGCCAUAUUUUGCAUAAGUAAAUAUGGUGUAAUAAACACAUUUUUAUAAAAUGCCUAGAUAAUUUAAAAUAAUUUAAAACAAAAAAGAAAUUACAAAAUAGAAAGAAACAAACAACCAAAAUAAAUAAAUAAAUGGACCCCCCCACUGGGCCUCGACCCAGCCGGCCCAAUCGGCCCAACCAUCCCGCACCCCCAUAACCUUCCCCACUCCUCCAGCUCGCCCACCGACACCCACACUCCCCCACCCCCGAAAUAUCCCCCCUCUCCCCCGAUUGGAUCGUGAUCGAGGGGGAGCCGCUCACCGCCGCGUCCCGAUGCCGUCUCGCCGCGAGGCCGCACCGCCAUCGCCGUCACCAUUCACCGGAGGAGCCUUGCCAGAGCUCNNNNNNNNNNNNNNNNNNNNNNNNNNNNNNNNNNNNNNNNNNNNNNNNNNNNNNNNNNNNNNNNNNNNNNNNNNNNNNNNNNNNNNNNNNNNNNNNNNNNCUUCCUACCAAACUUACGGCAAGGUUUACAUCAGGUCUAGUACACAGCAUGGCAUACAUAAUAGAUCCUAUGGCUGAGGCAUAGGGGAUGACACUCAUCUCUUCUUUAUCUUUUGCCGUGGUCGGGCAUUGAACCGAGCUCAAUAUCACACCUUGCAAUACAGGCAAGAACCCUUUCUUGGACUGAUCCAUUUUGAACUUCUUCAAAAUCUUAUCAAGGUAUGUGCUUUGUGAAAGACCUAUGAGGCGUCUCGAUCUAUCCCUAUAGAUUUUGAUGCCUAAUAUGUAAGCAGCUUCUCCAAGGUCCUUCAUUGAAAAACACUUAUUCAAGUAGGCCUUAAUGCUGUCCAAGAAUUCUAUAUCAUUUCCCAUCAAAAGUAUGUCAUCUACAUAUAAUAUGAGAAAUGCUACAGAGCUCCCACUCACUUUCUUGUAAACGCAGGCUUCUCCAUAAGUCUGCAUAAACCCAAACACUUUGAUCAUCUCAUCAAAGCGAAUGUUCCAACUCCGAGAUGCUUGCACCAGCCCAUAAAUGGAUCGCUAGAGCUUUCAUACUUUGUUAGCAUUCUUAGGAUCGACAAAACCUUCCGGCUGCAUCAUAUACAGCUCUUCCUUAAGAUAACCGUUAAGGAAUGCCGUUUUGACGUCCAUCUGCCAUAUCUCAUAAUCAUAGUAUGCGGCAAUUGCUAACAUGAUUCGGACGGACUUAAGCUUCGCUACGGGAGAGAAAGUCUCGUCGUAGUCAAUCCCUUGAACUUGUCAAUAACCCUUAGCGACAAGUCGAGCUUUAUAGAUGGUGACAUUACCAUCCGCAUCCGUCUUCUUCUUAAAGAUCCAUUUGUUUUCUAUCGAUCGCCGAUCAUCGGGCAAGUCAGUCAAAGUCCAUACUUUGUUUUCAUACAUGGAUUCUAUCUCCGAUUGCAUGGCUUCAAGCCAUUUGUUGGAAUCUGGGCCCGCCAUCGCUUCUUCAUAGUUCGAAGGUUCACCGUUGUCUAACAACAUGAUUUCCAGGACAGGGUUGCCAUACCACUCUGGUGUGGAACGUGUCCUUGUGGACCUACAAAGUUCAGUAGCAACUUGAUCCGAAGUACCUUGAUCAUCAUCAUUAAUUUCCUCUCCAGUCGGUGUAGGCACCACAGGAACAUUUUCCUGAGCUACACUAGUUUCAGGUUCAAGAGGUAGUACUUCAUCGAGUUCUACUUUCCUCCCACUUACUACUUUCGAGAGAAACUCUUUUUCCAGAAAGGAUCCGUUCUUGGCAACAAAGAUCUUGCCCUUGGAUCUUAAGUAGAAGGUAUACCCAAUAGUUUCCUUGGGGUAUCCUAUGAAGACGCAUUUUUCCGAUUUGGGUUCGAGCUUUUUAGGUUGAAGCUUCUUGACAUAAGCAUCGCAUCCCCAAACUUUUAGAAAUGACAGCUUAGGUUUCUUCCCAAACCAUAAUUCAUACGGUGUCGUCUCAACGGAUUUAGACGGUGCCCUAUUUAAAGUGAAUGUAGCUGUCUUUAGAGCGUAUCCCCAAAAUGAUAGCGGUAAAUCGGUAAGAGACAUCAUAUAUCACACCAUAUCCAAUAGAGUGCGAUUACGACGUUUGGACACACCGUUACGCUGAGGUGUUCCAGGUGGCGUGAGUUGUGAAAUGAUUCCACAUUUUCUUAAGUGUGUACCAAAUUCGUGACUUAAAUAUUCUCCUCCACGAUCCGAUCGUAAGAAUUUUAUCUUUCGGUCACGUUGAUUCUCUACUUCAUUCUGAAAUUCCUUGAACUUUUCAAAGGUCUCAGACUUGUGUUUCAUCAAGUAGACAUACCCAUAUCUACUUAAGUCAUCAGUGAGAGUGAGAACAUAACGAUAUCCUCCGCGAGCCUCAACGCUCAUUGGACCACACACAUCAGUAUGUAUGAUUUCCAAUAAGUUGGUUGCUCGCUCCAUAGUUCCGGAGAACGGAGUCUUGGUCAUUUUGCCCAUGAGGCAUGGUUCGCAUGUGUCAAAUGAUUCAUAAUCGAGAGACUCUAAAAGUCCAUCAGCAUGGAGCUUCUUCAUGCGCUUGACACCAAUGUGACCAAGGCGGCAGUGCCACAAGUAUGUGGAACUAUCGUUAUCCACUUUACAUCUUUUGGUAUUCACACUAUGAAUAUGUGUAACAUUACGUUCGAGAUUCAUUAACGAUAAACCAUUGACCAUCGGGGCAUGACCAUAAAACAUAUCUCUCAUAUAAAUAGAACAACCAUUAUUCUCGGAUUUAAAUGAGUAGCCAUCUCGCAUCAAACGAGAUCCAGAUACAAUGUUCAUGCUCAAACUUGGCACUAAAUAACAAUUAUUGAGGUUUAAAACUAAUCCCGUAGGUAAAUGUAGAGGUAGCAAGGACUUCAGUCCAUCUGUCGGCUAGCAAGUCUUGGUCAGCUCUAAGCUGCUGCUGUUUUUUCUUGAGGAUGCUCGCCGUGGCCAUAAGCCUGCGUUUGAAACGCUCUUGUUCAACAGGAUCCUCAGGCACGACAAAUUCGUCGUCGUCAAGGCUUGCCUCGUCUUCGAAGGGAGGCAUGUAAUUAUCGUCCUCUACCUCUCUGUCUGCCGCUCUCUCAUGAGGGCUGGCUUCUCCAUCCUCCUGUGCUGAAUCCUGCUGGAGGGGGUUGUCUUCGGCACUGUCCGGGGUGUUACUAUCUCCCGUGCCGGAAUCGCCGUUUUUGCUUUGGCGGGAUUUAGAGCGGCGCCUCUGACGCCGGCGCUUAGGCUGUUUCUUGGAGGGGUCAUCCUCCGUUGUUCCAUCGCCAUUCCCUUCUUUUGGGGUGUCCACUAUAUAUAUGUCGUAUGACGAGGUGGCUUUCCAGUGCCCUAUAGGCGCUGGUUCUUGGUCGUCUCCUGCAUCGGCGUCCAUACCAUCGAUGUCUUCGGAGUCGAAGUCGAGCAUGUCGAUUAAAUCAUCGACAGUGGCUACGAAGUGGGUGGUGGGUGGGCUUUGAAUUUCUUCGUCGUCUGCAUCCCAAUCUUGCUGACCAUAGUCCGGCCAGGGCUCUCCUGAUAAAGAGAGAGACUUUAGUGAAUUCAGGAUGUCGCCGAAGGGCGAGUGCUGAAAGAUGUCCGCGGUGGCGAACUCCAUGAUCGGCGCCGAAUCGGGAUCGAUCAGCAGGGGCGCGGAAGGUUCGGAGUCCGGAAAGGAGUCCGGCACCUUGGAGUCACGAGCUUCGCAAAGGACAAGGCUGGUGUUCGUCUCGAUCGCCAUAGAGAUUGCAGCUCCCGAGGCAGUGUCCAGCCACCCAUCCUCGAUUGGGCAGUCGGCUCCGAGCUAAGGGUCGGAGCGGACACUGGGGCGGUCUCCUGGGCACUGUUCGGCGACAGAGCUAGAUCAUGCCCAUCGUGACAGUGCAGCGCGCUUGGCUGUGGCUCGAACCCGUCGAAGAUCAAGUCUCCGCGGAUGUCAGCCGUGUAGUUCAAACUUGCAAACCUGACCUGAUGGCCAGGGGCCUAGCUUUCGAUCUGCUCCAGAUGACCAAGCGAAUUGGCCCGCAGUGCAAAGCCGCCAAAUACGAAGAUCUAUCGGGGGUGAAAAGUCUCACCCUGGACCGCAUUGUUGUUGAUGAUCGGAGGAGCCAUCGGGCCUAAAGAUGAUGACACAGGGGAACUCUCAAUGAAAGCACCAAUGUCGGUGUCAAAACCGGCGGAUCUCGGGUAGGGGGUCCCGAACUGUGCGUCUAGGCGGAUGGUAACAGGAGACAAGGGACACGAUGUUUUUACCCAGGUUCGGGCCCUCUNNNNNNNNNNNNNNNNNNNNNNNNNNNNNNNNNNNNNNNNNNNNNNNNNNNNNNNNNNNNNNNNNNNNNNNNNNNNNNNNNNNNNNNNNNNNNNNNNNNNAUCACACCCGUGCAGCUGCUCCUUCCGCUGGCAUCCUGCCAAGAACCUGCCGCUAGUCCACUCCUCUUUGUUUGUUGGCUCGAAGCCAUCAAGACACUUGCACAUUGGGACUGGUGCCGCCGUCUCAUCGCAGUAGCCAUACGGGCCACAGUAACCAUGGAGGUUGCAUUCAACAGCUGGCCACUUCAUAAGGACAACCCACGCCGACAAGUUGCUACUCCAGCUCUUGAGGUAAUACUCACCUGAGUAGGUCAGCACUGACCUUGUGAGUGGGGCGCCCUCAGAGAGGCUAUAUGUGCCAUAGAUCUCAUCACCGUUGUCGACCACGGCGAUGUACAUGAUAAGAUCACUAAAACUCAUUGUCCCUGCUAGCUGUUUUUGGCUGACGCUAGUCACUUGGAUCCCCGUCCAGGGAUUGCCACGGGUCACCAAGCUCUCCCCGUCCCACAGGAAUACUUGGAGGGGUGUGUCUGGGUCGCCACCGUAGGAGAAGCGCCCUGGAGAGGGAUCGUUGGGGCCCUUCCAGGAAACCAGACGAUCCCCAGUACCGUUUGUGCUGUAUUUGAUCCGCAUCUUCAUCCCCGGGAGGAGCGUGUCUGUGCGGUGGUCGAAGCUCUGCCACACUGUGGUGCCGUUUGACAAGCGAAUGAUGAGGUUGCCGGUGUUCAGAAGCACCGCCGUCGGGGUAGAUGAGCCCGGGGAAAUAGUUGUCACGUUGGCCCUCGUCCAAAGGAUACGGACACUAUUGUUAGCUUCGGAGAUAAUGAGAUUGGAGGUGUUGGUGAGGGAGAGCAUGGGUGCAAAGGAAGUGAUGUUGGUGACUGGGGUUUCACGGUUCGCAACCCACACAACUGUGAACUCAGAGAUGUUGUUGUACCAUAUACCAAGGUACAGCUUGGCUGGAGUGGAGUUGGAGGGGUUGAAGAAGCCCAAGGAGAACGUGCCACCAUCGGAGAUGAUGGUGUUGCCGGGAUACAGCGACUUGCCAGGGACAAGCCGGUCGUCCGAGCCGCACAACGGCAGGAAUAAAAUGAUCAGGGCCACGGUGCAGAGAGCCCGAGAAUCCAUCAAUCGACAAUGCAAAAAUCUUCGUUACUAAGCAGUAACUAGCUGUAGGCUAUAUAUAGUUGCUGCCAAAUGGAGAUAGCACUUGCAUCGAACCUUGGUCUACAAGUAAAUAUGUUUUCACGAACACAGGAAAGCAGCUUCCACGAAAGUUCUAUCGCAGAAGCAAACGAUUGAAUAAUGGAAAGUUGAGGGAUUCAAGAGUUGGUUUCAAAGUCUGAGUGCGUAGUUUAUAAUUCAGCUGUCCACACUGAAAUUUGGAUGCCACCAUCACUGCUGACUAGAUAGCCAUGUUUUUUCUACUUUUUCUACAUUAUGUUUUUGAAAUGACUAAAAGACGCACACAUAAUACUUACGUAGUCGCAGACACAUACUUAAGAGAAGAGUCAUGUAGUUUCAAAAUUAACAAAGUUACAAUAUGGAUGUAUUGCUAGCAACAAGGAAAUCACCCACCACGAAAAGAAAAAUUUGCAUUAGUUAGUCAUACAGAUCGAGUCAAACAUAACGUUCGAUCAGUCUCGGUGGUGGCUGAAAAAUAUAAUUCACCUCCUAACCUUCUAACCAAUGAUUGAUUUUUGACUAGUAGCUAUUGACCGAGACAUUGACCUAUACUGACCCGGCCACGAUCAUAUAUGGUCCAGCUCCGACGCGGCUAUUGGGUCCCAGUAUUUGAAGUUGUUGGUCAAACCUACAGGCAGAUGCGUGCAGUACCAACAGAAAAUGUAGUACUUCCAUUCUCAGACUGAAUUUUCUACAGUUUUAAUGUGCAGACUGAAUAUUCUCUUCCUCGUCAUGUAACAGCUGAAAAACAAAAAGAACCUGUAUAGUUUAAAAAGAAAAACUUUGCAGAUGGGUGAUGGAGCUACAAGCCUACAAAUGGAUUGUACCACCAUAAGACCUACUUAUGAAACAAUUUUGAGCUAUUUCAUGAAACUUUUGUUAUUAAGUGUUCUUUCAUGGAAUGUAUUUUCUAGUAUGGAAGACGGAUAGCUGACCUAUCUUCCCUCUAGAAGAGUAAUAAUCAGAAUGUUCAUUGAAUUUUGAUUUUUACAUGUUCUACCUACCUAUCAGUUAGCUACUUAUUUUGAUCUUCGCCAACUACCAUAGUUGAUUUCUGCUCACGACACGAUGGUUUCUCCUUUGGGACACGUUUGCUGAGAAGGGUGUGAUGAUGGUGUUUAUGCUUAUUUUAUCAUCAUCUUAGACUAGCAGUUGCAGAUGAACGCAUGCUUUUCAGUUUUCACACCCAUCAAUAUGUUUAUCUAAACUCGAAACGUUGAAUGUGACGCCCAAAUUUCGUCGGACUGCAUCAUUCUAUCCUACAAUUCUAUCUUCAAUAAACCACAACUUAAUUUCCAUUAUGAGAGCGAGAGAGAACAUUGGGAUCAAUGCAUGGUCAUGUUUUUUAUUUAAUAAUCCCUCCGUUGCUUUAUAUUAUGUGUAUUUAGUUUCUGAUAAAAUUUCACAAUGUAAGGUGUAUUUGUUCUAAUUCCUUGUAAUUCCAUUCUUGGCCCUCUAGAAAAAGGAAAAUAUCUCUCACCUGAUUGCAUGUAUCUCUCCCUGUAUAGAAAAAGGAAACUAUCUCUCUCAUGAUUAUGUGUAUCUAUUUCUUUUGCCUAAAUGAUUUACUUGCCCCUAAUGAACGAAAUUAACAAGGGUGAUUUUGUCCUAAAUUUCAUAUAAUAAUGUGCCUUGGUCACUACCAAAAAUAAGACACCUUACAUAAAUGAAUGGAGUAUAAAUGUAAGUACUUUACUGUGCAAAAUGACAUAGCUAGCAAUACCUACAGAAAAGGAAUGAAAACAUUGGAAGAUAACGACCUCCAACUAACUGAUACAUUGCCAUUUUGUUUCUUUAACGAAAUGUUUUUAAUUACGUAUAAGACUAAUCAUAAUCAUUCUACCGCCCUUAUAUAUCCGUAAGAGUAAGAUUGUUCAUGGAGUUUUGUAUGCCUACCCCGGUUUCUAAAUUUCCUUUUUUACCAUGCAAAACAUGCGCUCUGCUGAUUUCAUUAAGAUAGGAAAAAGAAAUAGAAUACAGAAGUUAUUUACAAGGGAUUUUUUUGAAAAGAUUUAGAAGGGACUAGCUAUAGAAAACUACAUGUUGGACAUUACCUAUGCUGCUCAAGGUCACUGUUGGGGAACGUAGUAAUUUCAAAAAAAAUCUUACGUCACACACAGGAUCAUGGUGAUGCAUAGCAACGAGAGGGGAGAGUAUGUCUACAUAACCUCGUAGAUCGAAAGUGGAAGCGUUAUAUCAACACGGUUGAUGUAGUCGUACGUCUUCACGAUCCGACCGAUCCAAGUACCGAAAGCACGGCACCUCCGAGUUCUGCACAUGUUCGGCUCGGUUACGUCCUCGCCUUCUCGAUCCAGCAAGAGGGGCGAAGUAGUAGAUGAGUUCCGGCAGCACGACGGCGUGGUGACGGUGUUGGUGAAUAACAAUCUCCGCAGGGCUUCGCCUAAGCACUACGAAAACUAUGACCGAGGAUAAACUAGAGGGGAUGGGGUAGCCGGCACAUGGCUUGGUGUUUCUUGAUGUGUCUUGGGUGCUACCCUACCCCUCUAUUUAUAUGUUGAGCCUUGGGGUCGAAACUUGGAGUAAAAGCCUCCACAAAAUCGGUUUCACCCGAAAGGCAAGAGUCCUUCUCGGACUCCAGGGCCAGACGCCAGGGUCCNNNNNNNNNNNNNNNNNNNNNNNNNNNNNNNNNNNNNNNNNNNNNNNNNNNNNNNNNNNNNNNNNNNNNNNNNNNNNNNNNNNNNNNNNNNNNNNNNNNNGUAAAAGACAUAAAGUAAAAGAUAGGCCCUUCACAGAUGGAAGAAGAGGUUGUCAUGUUCUUUUAGGGUUGGAUGCACAAAAUCUUAAUGCAAAAGAACAUCACUUUAUAUUGCCACUUGUGAUAUGAAACUUUAUUAUGCAGUCCAUCGCUUUUAUUACUUACAUAUCACACGAUCGUAUAAAGCUUAUGUUCUCCGCACUAAUAAGUCAUACAUAUUUAGAGAGGAAUUUUUAUUGCUUGCAACAUGACAACUUACUUGAAGGAUCUUACUCAAUCCAUAGGUAGGUAUGGUGGACUCUCAUGGCAAAAACUGGGUUUAAGGAUAUUUGGAAGAACAAGUAGUAUCUCUACUUGGUGCAAGGAAUUUUGGCUAGCAUGAGGGGGAAAGGCAAGCUCAACAUGUUUGAAUGAUCCAUGACCAUAUACUUUAAUUGAGAUGUGAGAAAACAUAAACCAUUACGUUGUCUUCCUUAUCCAACAUUAACUCUUUAGCAUGUCAUACUUUAAUGAGUGCUCACAAUUAUAAAAGAUGUCCAAGAUAGUAUAUUUAUAUGUGAAAACCUCUCUUUCUUUAUUACUUCCUAUUAAUUGCAACGAUGACCAAAACUAUGUUUAUCAACUUUCAACAACUUUUAAGUCUCAUACUCUUUAUAUGUGAAGUCAUUACUAUCCAUAAGAUCAAUAUGAACUCUUUUAUUCUCUUUUUUAUUCUUUCUAUUUUAUCAAAAUCAUAGCAAGAUAGGAAAGCCUUGACUCAACACUAAUCUUUAUUCUAUAGCUCACGGACUCGAUUACAUAAAGGGAUCACAAAGCAAAAUUCAAAACUAAUUCAUACCAAAACUUCAUUCUACUAGGUCAAGAUAUUACAAAAAGGAUCGAACUAAGAAAAACGGUAAAGACAGGAGUGUGAUGGUGAUAUGAUACUGGGGCACCUCCCCCAAGCUUGGCAGUUGCCAAGGGGAGUGCCCAUACCCAUGUGAUUAUGUCCUCGAAGGUGAUGAAGGUGGAGUUGUUGAUGAUGUAGGCUUGUCGUCCGUCUUCCAAGGCAUAGGCUCACCAUCAUAGAACGAGUCUCCGAGAUCCUCAAAUCUGCAGCCAAACUCAUCCUCUUGAAUCUAUAUUCAUACUCACAGUUUUGGUUUUGCGGGUCAUGGAUCUGGGCUUGGAGAUGCUCGAUUUUUUCAUGAAGCUUGAAGAUGGUCUCCCCAAUGUUCUUGGCGUCCAGCUUGUGGUUGUUGGUGAAUUCCACGAUCAUCAUCUAGUUGGUGUUAGGUCCACGCUCCACCAUCCCUUGGCACUUGAAAACUUGUUGUUCCAUAGCUUCCAGCUUUGUCUCCACGCUUCCGGUACGCCUUGGUCCCUCCACUUCGCGGAUGUGCAGCACCCCCUCAAGAUAGGGGUUGAUAACUGUCGGUGUCCAAACCGGCGGAUCUCGGGUAGGGGGGUCCCGAACUGUGCGUCUAGGCGGAUGGUAACAGGAGACAAGGGACACGAUGUUUUACCCAGGUUCGGGCCCUCUCGAUGGAGGUAAAACCCUACGUCCUGCUUGAUUGAUAUUGAUAUUGUGGAUGUUUACAAGAGUGGAUCUACCACGAGAUCAAGGAGGCUAAACCCUAGAAGCUAGCCUAUGGUAUGAUUGUAAGGGUUGUUGUUGUUGUUGUUGUUGUUGUUGUUGUUGUUGUCCUAUGGACUAGAGCCAUCCGUUUUAUAUAGACACCGGAGAGGGCUAGGGUUACAUAGAGUCGGUUACAAUGGUAGGAGAUCUAUGUAUCCGUAUCGCCAAGCUUGCCUUCCACGCCAAGGAAAGUCCCAUCCGGACACGGGACGAAGUCUUCAAUCUUGUAUCUUCAUAGUCUUGGAGUCCGGUAGAUGAUGAUAGUCCGGUCGAUGAUAGUUCGGCUGAUGAUGGUAGUCCGGCUAUCCGGACACCCCCUAAUCUAGGACUCCCUUAGUAGCCCCUGAACCAGGCUUCAAUGACGAUAAGUCCGGCACGUAUAUUGCUUGGCAUUGCAAGGCGGGUUCCUCCUCCGAAUGAUAGAAGAUUGUGAACACCAGGAUAGUGUCCGGCUCUGCAAAAUAAAUUCCACAUUCCACCAUAGAGAGAAUAAUAUAUACACAAGUUCAAUCUGCUGACGUUUUUUGUGGCAUGACGUCACGCCACUACCAAGCCAUUACUUGAAUCGUUUUUUACUCUACCACCUCAGCGCAUUUAGCGAAGUGGUUUCCUUGGCACGUCUUGUCGAAGCAGAGAUCGUGUUCCCCCUUAAUCCGGGAUUCUCAUCAAUACGGACGUGGGUAACCCAACCGCGCCAUUGAUGGUGACGCUUGGGGGAUAAGCGAGUUUUACCAAGCUAGUGGGGGACGCGUAGACUUCGCCCGCCCAUAUAAGGGAUAAGGAUUCACCUUUUCACCUACGCCUUCUUCCUCCUUUGCUUAUCCAUCUCCGCGCACUCGAGCUCCAGCGCCCAAGGCCGCACAUCUCGUCUCAACCUUCCCCACUUAUAUCCGGAGUGGGAGGCAAGUGGAUGACCUCCUCCGUCACGGAGGAGCACAUCGAAAGACUGCGCAGCGCCGGCCACCUGUCCGGCGACAUCGCGCACCGGCUGCCCGACGAGGGGCAGCUCAUCCCCACCCCCAGGCCGCAUGAGAGGGUCAUUUUUCUUCCCCACUUCCUCCGCGGAAUGGGGUUUUCCACUUCAACCCUUUGUCCGGGGGCUCAUGUUCUACUACGGCCUGGAUUUCCAUGAUCUGGCACCGAACUUCAUCCUCAACAUCUCGGCGUUUAUCGUCAUGUGCGAGUCCUUCCUCUGCAUCCAGCCCCACUUCGGCUUGUGGCUCAAGACCUUCAAUGUCAAGCCGAAGGUAGUGAAGGGCACUCAUCCGGAGUGCGGAGGCGCCAUGUUGGGCAAGAUGCCCAAUUUCCUUUGGUUCGAAGGGGCCUUCGUGGAAUCCGUCAAGGGGUGGCAAUCGGGGUGGUUCUAUAUCACCGAGCCGCGCGACCCUAAGUGGGCGGAGGCCCCCGAGUUCAGAUCUGGUAUCCCCAUGCAGCUCACCUCCUGGAAAGAGAAGGGCUUGCUGUGGGGUAGCUCGGAGGAGCUGACGGGACUCCAAGCCUGUAUCCAGAAGCUGGUGAAGAAGCUUAGGCUGGUUAACAUGGUCCAAGUCAUGCUCGUCCGCCGGAUUCUCCCAUGCCAAGAGCGGGCAUUCAAUCUGUGGGAGUUCAAUCCGGAACAGCACCAGGCGCUGAGCAGGCUCUUUGACACGACGUACGAAGGCGCCUGGAGGGUGCUUUUUAAGGGCGCCGAAGCCCCCGCAUCCGCGACUGAAGAUCGCGGAUUUCGCUCGCAACGCCAAGCCGACGAGGUAAGUGAUUCUACCCCUUUACGGGACACUUGCUUUUCAUAGUUUGACUCUAUGCGGGUUUUAAUUUCCCCUUUUCCUUUGACAGGACUGGAUGUGGAAGGCGGAGCAGAUUAUCUGCCUGGCUCCCAUGCCAGAAAACCCAGUAGACGCCCAUCUAGCGAAGCUGCUGGUUCCGGCACCGCACAUGGUGCCGGAGAAGAAGGCCAAGAAGGAGGCCACGGGUGCUCGAAAGAGUUCCCGUUUUUAGGUGUCCGACGACUCCGGGGCGGACUCCUCCCCCGAAAACGAGGAGGAGAAAGAGGACUCUCUCCCAGAGGAGGGAGAGAGGAAGAGGAAGGCUUCCCCAACAGGGGAGGCCGAAGGGUCCAAGAGGGGAANNNNNNNNNNNNNNNNNNNNNNNNNNNNNNNNNNNNNNNNNNNNNNNNNNNNNNNNNNNNNNNNNNNNNNNNNNNNNNNNNNNNNNNNNNNNNNNNNNNNAAUGAUGGUAAAUGUCACCAUUAAGAAAGCUCGACUUGUCGUUAAGAUGUUUUCCGACAAGUUCAAGGAGUUGACUACGAUGAGAUUUUCUCACUCGUAGCGAUGCUAAGAGUCUGUUGGAAUUAUAUUAGCGAUUACUGCAUUAUUUAUGAAAUCUUGCAGAUAGGAUGUCAAAACAUUGUUUCCUCGACGAUUUUAAUGAGGAAAGGUUGUAUGUGAUACAACCGGAAGGUUUUGUCAAUCCCGAAAGAUGCUAAUAAGUAUGCAAAGCUCCAGCAAUCCUUCUAAGGACUGGAGUGAGCAUCUCGGAGUUGGAAUGUAUGCUUUGAUGAUGAUCAAAGAUUUUGGGUUUGUACAAAGUUUAUGAGAAACUUGUAUUUCCAAAGAAGUGAGUGGGAGCACUAUAGAAUUUCUGAUGAGUAUAUGUUGUUGACAUAUUGAUGAUCAGAGAUGAUGUAGAAUUUCUAGAAAGCAUAUAGGGUUAUUUUGAAAGUGUUUUUCAAUGGAAAACCUGGAUUAAGCUACUUGAACAUUGAGCAUCAAGAUCUAUAAGGAUAGAUCAAAACGCUUAAUAGUACUUUCAAAUGAGCACAUACCUUGACAUGAUCUUGAAGGUGUUCAAGAUGGACCAGUCAAAGAAGGAGUUCUUGCCUGAGUUGUAAGGUACGAAGUCAAGACUUAAAGCUCGACCAUGGCAGAAUAGAGAGAAAGGACGAAGGUCGUCCCCUAUGCUUAAGAUGUAGGCUCUUCAGUAUGCUGUGCUGUGUACCGCACCUGAAGUGUGCCUUGCCAUGAGUCAGUCAAGGGGUACAAGAGUGAUCCAAGAAUGGAUCACAGGACAGCGGUCAAAGUUAUCCUUAGUAACUAGUGGACUAAGGAAUUUUCUCAAUUAUGGAGGUGGUAAAAGAGUUCGUCGUAAAGGGUUACGUCGAUGCAAGCUAAACACCUAUCCGGAUAGCUCUGAGUAGAGAUACCGGAUACGUACAAUGGGGCAACAAUUUAGAAUAGUUGCAAGUAGAACAUUUAUUUGGAAUAGCUCCAUAUAGAGCGUGGUAGCUGCAUCUAGGAGAUGACAUAAAGAUUUGUAAAGCACACACGAAUCUGAAAGGUUCAGACCCAUUGACUAAAACCUCUCUCACAAGCAACAUGAUCAAACAUAAAACUCAUUGAGUGUUAAUCACAUAGUGAUGUGAACUAGACUACUGACUCUAGUAAACUCUUGGGUAUUAGUCACAUGGCGAUGUGACCUGUGAGUGUUAAUCACAUGGCGAUGUGAACUAGAUUAUUGACUCUAGUGCAAGUGGGAGACUGUUGGAAAUAUGCCCUAGAGGCAAUAAUAAAAGUAUUAUUAUUAUAUUUCCUUGUUCAUGAUAAUUGUCUUUUAUUCAUGCUAUAACUGUAUUAUCCGGAAAUCGUAAUACACGUGUGAAUACAUAGACCACAAUAUGUCCCUAGUGAGCCUCUAGUUGACUAGCUCGUUGUGAUCAACAGAUAGUCAUGGUUUCCUGGCUAUGGACAUUGGAUGUCGUUGAUAACGGGAUCACAUCAUUAGGAGAAUGAUGUGAUGGACAAGACCCAAUCCUAAGACUAGCACAAAUAUCGUGUAGUUCGUUUGCUAGAGCUUUGCCAAUGUCAAGUAUCUCUUCCUUUGACCAUGAGAUCGUGUAAUUCCUGGAUGCCGUAGGAGUGCUUUGGGUGUAUCAAACGUCACAACGUAACUGGGUGACUAUAAAGGUGCACUACAGGUAUCUCCGAAAGUAUCUAUUGUUUUAUGCGGAUCGAGACUGGGAUUUGUCACUCCGUGUAAACGGAGAGGUAUCUCUGGGCCCACUCGGUAGGACAUCAUCAUAUGCGCAAUGUGACCAAGGAGUUGAUCACGGGAUGAUGUGUUACGGAACGAGUAAAGUGACUUGCCGAUAACGAGAUUGAACAAGGUAUUGGAUACCGACGAUCGAAUCUCGGGCAAGUAAAAUACCGCUAGACAAAGGGAAUUGAAUACGGGAUCGAUUGAGUCCUUGACAUCGUGGUUCAUCCGAUGAGAUCAUCGUGGAACAUGUGGGAGCCAUCAUGGGUAUCCAGAUCCCGCUGUUGGUUAUUGACCGGAGAACGUCUCGGUCAUGUCUGCAUGUCUCCCGAACCCGUAGGGUCUACACACUUAAGGUUCGAUGACGCUAGGGUUAUAAAGGAAGCUUGUAUGUGGUUACCGAAUGUUGUUCGGAGUCCCGGAUGAGAUCCCGGACGUCACGGGGAGUUCCGGAAUGGUCCGGAGGUAAAGAUUUAUAUAUAGGAAGUCCUGUUUCGGCCAUCGGGACAAGUUUCGGGGUCAUCGGUAUUGUACCGGGACCACCGGAAGGGUCCCGGGGGCCCACCGGGUGGGGCCACCUGCCCCGGGGGGCCACAUGGGCUGUAGGGGGUGCGCCUUGGCCUACAUGGGCCAAGGGCACCAGCCCCAAGAGGCCCAUGCGCCUGGGGAAACCCUAAAGGAAGAGUCCCAGCAGGGGAAGGCACCUCCUAGGUGCCUUGGGGGGGGGGGAGGACUCCUCCCCUGGCCGCCGCCUCCUUGGAGAUUGGAUCUCCUAGGGGCUGGCGCACCCCCCCCCCUUGGGAUCCCUAUAUAUAGUGGGGUAGGAGGGCCUCCCAAACACACCUUAUGCCUUUGGUGCAGCCCCUCCCUCUCUCCCAAGUUACUCUCCUCUUCUCCCAUGGUGUUUGGCGAAGCCCUGCGGGAUUGCCACGCUCCUCCACCACCACCACGCCGUUGUGCUGCUGUUGGAUGGAUUCUUCCUCAACCUCUCCCUCUCUCCUUGCUGGAUCAAGGCGUGGGAGACGUCACCGGGCUGUACGUGUGUUGAACGCGGAGGUGCCGUCCGUUCGGCACUUGAUCAUCGGUGAUCUGAAUCACGACGAGUACGACUCCAUCAACCCCGUUCACUUGAACGCUUCCGCUUAGCGAUCUACAAGGGUAUGUAGAUGCAAACUCUCCUCUCCUUUCUACUCGUUGCUGGUCUCUCCAUAGAUAGAUCUUGGUGUUACGUAGGAAAAUUUUUGAAUUUCUGCUACGUUCCCCAACAUGAGUGUCAUCCCCUAUGCCUCAGCCAUAGGUUCUAUUAUGUAUGCCAUGCUGUGUACCAGACCUGAUGUAAACCUUGCCGUAAGUUUGGUAGGAAGGUACCAAAGUAAUCCCGGCAAGGAACACUGGACAGCGGUCAAGAAUAUCCUAAAGUACCUGAAAAGGACUAAGGAAAUGUUUCUCGUUUAUGGAGGUGACGAAGAGCUCAUCGUAAAGGGUUACGUCGACGCUAGCUUCGACACAGAUCUGGAUGACUCUAAGUCACAAACCGGAUACGUGUAUAUUUUGAAUGGUGGGGCAGUAAGCUGGUGCAGUUGCAAGCAAAGCAUCGUGGCGGGAUCUACAUGUGAAGCGGAGUACAUGGCAGCCUCGGAGGCAGCACAUGAAGCAAUAUGGGUGAAGGAGUUCAUCACCGACCUAGGAGUCAUACCCAAUGCGUCGGGGCCGAUCAAGCUCUUCUGUGACAACACUGGAGCUAUUGCACUUGCCAAGGAGCCCAGGUUUCACAAGAAGACAAGGCACAUCAAGCGUCGCUUCAACUCCAUUCGUGAAAAUGUUCAAGAUGGAGACAUAGAGAUUUGUAAAGUACAUACGGACCUGAAUGUAGCAGAUCCGUUGACUAAACCUCUCCCUAGAGCAAAACAUGAUCAACACCAGAAUUCCAUGGGUGUUNNNNNNNNNNNNNNNNNNNNNNNNNNNNNNNNNNNNNNNNNNNNNNNNNNNNNNNNNNNNNNNNNNNNNNNNNNNNNNNNNNNNNNNNNNNNNNNNNNNNGCUAGGGCGGGGAUCCCCAAGCAAAUGAGGCGUAAUUUUGACACUAUGGCCAUCCUUCUUCAUUGGAGGAUCUGGAAGGAAAGAAAUGCAAGGAUCUUCGAUAAUGCGGCGAGCACUCCUGACAGGGUUCGGGACCUUGUCUUGGAAGAUAUACACAUAUGGAGAUCAGCCGGCUGUAUCAGCGACUUGGCGACAUAAGCCUAGUCUGUUCUGUAUCUCAUUGGCCACUACUCGUGCGGCGAGAACGAGGGUCGAGCCUAUCUGGAAGCUGGCGAAGGAUAAUCAGUUCUCUGCCUAGAUGUAGUCCUGAUAACGGACUGAUUAUAAUGCUCUCUGUCUCCCCUGCGUUGACGAGCUUGUGUUCUUUUGGGUUUCAGCUCUAGUUCUCCUAGGCUGUUUCCCAUGCUGUAUUCUUUUCCUUCAAUCUAAUAAAGUACGGCCAUUGGCCCUUCGGUACAGUUUCUUCAUCCUCUUUGUGCCAUGGCUGUCCACCUCUUCGUCCUCACCAGUCCGGUCGCAACGUUUCCCUAGCACGCCUCCCACUGCGGAGCACACACAGCUCGAUGCGGCGUCGCCAUCAGACAGCACCUCUUCAACCACUCCAAACAGCGGGUCAAAGUCAGCGAAUCCCUCGACCACGCCUCUAGCUAUGCGGCCAUAGGUGUACCCGGCAGCAGCCUUUCCAUUUGCAGGAUUUUCUUCCAUCGUUUUGCAUUCAGGCAGCUGGUCAUAAUAAAAACACCAAUAAAUAUUAUUGUGACUAAUUUUUUCUGAAGAUCGACCGAACAGAUACCUUAUAUGACAGAACAUCAUGACGAGAGAGUAGAGACUCUGCUUCCACGCCGCACCCUACAUCAAGAUAGCACUGACACUACUAGGAAAAGGCCUACUAAUGGCGCACCGGUUUUGCCUACUAAUGGCACACUACCGGUGUGCCAUUAGUAUCACGCCACUAUUAUUUUUACUUAGUAUCUGGUAUACUAAUGGCGUACCAUGCAGUGCGCCAUUAGUUUUGCCCACAGUGCACCACUAGAGUCUGCUAUACUAAUGGCGCACCACAUGGUAGUGCGCCAUUAGUAACAAUUUUUUUAAUUUUUUUUCUUAAUCUCAGGUCACUAUUUCACAUAUGAGAUAUCGAACACAUAUAUAUACAACAAGCAUCCAUAUAACAAUCAUAGCCAAUACACAAGUUUCAUCAUCUAUACAUACAUAGCCAACACAUAGUUCCAUCGUUACAUAUUAGAAAAGUUUCACAUUGUUCAUCCAACACCGUUAUCCAUCAAUUCACAAAAGUUUCACAUUGAUACAAAAUAAAAACACAAAUGGAAAAGAAGCACUCCAUCCAUGCAAGCUUCCGUGAAUUAAAUCAAAUCUGCAAAAUGAUAAACAAGAAGUUAGAAGAAGAAGAAGAAGAAGACUAGAAGAAUACUAGAAGAAGAAGAACACUAGAAUAAGAAUAAGAAGAAUUUUCGAAAAAAGAAGAAUAAGAAGAAGACUAUAAGCUUACUAUGUAAACUUGAUCAUUUUGUGCUAACAUAAGUAAUUUUGGAGCUAACCUAUAGGAAACUAAGCAUAUAAGCUCUAAGUUAGCAUAUUAGAGCCAACUUAGGUAAAAUGAAGCUAACCUAUGUCAUUUUGGAAAAGAAGAAGAAUAAGAAGGAGACUAUAAGCUUAUUAUGUAAACUUGAUCAUUUUGUGCUACCAUAAGUUAUUUUGGAGCUAACCUAUAGGAAACUAAGCGUAUAAGCUCUAAGUUAGUAUAUUAGAGCCAACUUAGGUAAAAUGAAGCUAACCUAUGUCAUUUUGGAAAAGAAGAAUAAGAAAAAGACUAUAAGCUUAUUAUGUAAACUUGAUCAUUUUGUGCUAACAUAAGUUAUUUUGGAGCUAACCUAUAGGAAACUAAGCAUAUAAGCUCUAAGUUAGCAUAUUAGAGCCAACUUAGGUAAAAUGAAGCUAACCUAUAGGAAACUAAGCAUAUUAGAGAUAACAUAGGUAACUAAGUAUAUAUAUAUAUCAUUUUGGAGAUCUGACAUACCUGACAAAGUUCAGUUCUCAUGCAUUGUUCUUCUCCUUCUCCUUCCUCAGCCUGAUGCGCCAAGAGUGGCGAGGCAGUGGAGGCAGUGGGAUGUAGUCUUCUACCACAAUUGGCGUGGUCAUGUCGCCCAGCUGUGGGAUCGUCGGCGCCACCACCGGUGCGUGGUCAUUGUCAGGCACCACCACCAUCGCGAGACCACCUUCAGGCACGACCAUCGCUAGGUCAUCCUCAGCCACCUCCAUCUCUUGCCCAUGGUCAGCCACCACCAUCUCUUGACCAUUGAGGGAGUCCUGGACUAGGGGGUGUCCGGAUAGCCGAACUAUCAUCAUCGGCCGGACUCCAAGACUAUGAAGAUACAAGAUUGAAGACUUCGUCCCGUGUUCGGAUGGGACUUUCCUUGGCGUGGAAGGCAAGCUUGGCGAUACGGAUAUGUAGAUAUCCUACCAUUGUAAUCGACUCUGUGUAACCCUAGCCCUCUCCGGUGUCUAUAUAAACCGGAUGGCUUUAGUCCGUAGGACGAACAACAAUCAUACCAUAGGCUAGCUUCUAGGGUUUAGCCUCCUUGAUCUCGUGGUAGAUCUACUCUUGUAACACACAUCAUCAAUAUUAAUCAAGCAGGACGUAGGGUUUUACCUCCAUCAAGAGGGCCCGAACCUGGGUAAAACAUCGUGUCCCUUGUCUCCUGUUACCAUCCGCCUAGACGCACAGUUCGGGACCCCCUACCCGAGAUCUGCCGGUUUUGACACCGACAUUGGUGCUUUCAUUGAGAGAUCCUCUGUGUCGUCGCAAUCAGGAAGGAUGCCUUUUCCCGUCUUUAAAGACGGCACCGUCAUCAAGGGAGCUUUGGCCGCCGGCCAAACUAUCCGGCUAGGUGGUUUUCUUAUGACCGCCUGUUCGGCCACCGCUCUGACGAUGACCUCUCAGGUCAUCAAAAGCGAUCUUCACGUCAGCUCGGAAUUCGUCGAGCAGCUAGAUCCGAUGGAGCUCUCCUCCGUAAACGAGCUCUUGGAUCGCAUCGCCGCCCUGGGAGUCGCUACAGACUACGAUCAGAUAGGGCUUAAAACCGAUCUGAGAGAAAUUAACUCUCCCCAGGCUACCCACCACGUUGUUGUGGUAGAGGAACAAUGCGGCGACCCUUCUUCUAUGUUAAAAACCAGCUAUGUCCGGAUUCCCGAUCCCUCCAUGCCGGAUUCCCGCGGAGGGACGGACGUCAAUCAAAUACUGAACCUAAAGUCAGGCAUCGGACUAGAUUUGUUGGAAAGCAUCCAACAAACCAAGCUUCCAAAUCCGGAAACUUCUUAGCCUUUGAGCCUCAGAUCGGGCGGGGUUCCGAACUUAAUUCCACCCGCCCACCCAAACAUAAGCGAUCUAUCUCAAAUAUGGCAAGAGCCCGAUGAAACAGUACAUCAUUGCUGGCCCAGAUUCCUCCUGGUUAUGAACAGGAUAAAGGACUGCCGUGAAGAAAGCGCGAUUUCAAUUUUCUGCAACAAUUGCACGGACAAGGGAAUCAUAAACACCAUAAGUCGUCCCGAAGUUACACGCUUCGCCGACCUAGGGACCAUUGUACAAAAAUACUGGGCGAUGGAGAGUGCCUGGAAAACCGAAACCAGGUUUUGGGACAAUCCGGCCCUGAAUAUAACCCCAGUCCGAAAUAAAAGGGUGCGUCAUGCUCAAGCACCGGGAUUAAAAACCAAAAAGCAAAAAAAANNNNNNNNNNNNNNNNNNNNNNNNNNNNNNNNNNNNNNNNNNNNNNNNNNNNNNNNNNNNNNNNNNNNNNNNNNNNNNNNNNNNNNNNNNNNNNNNNNNNGAGAGCAGGAGCGAGAACAUGGGAUUGUAUCGAUAUGAUCAAAUGGUUGGUUGCUUGCCUGAUGGUUCGAUGCACGGAUACGGUUCUUCGUUAGGGUAAUCACGGUACUCCUCGGGGACAGAUCCUGUCGCAAAGGACAUCGAUACACAAGCAUCACCAAACAAUGUGCAACAAUAUGAUGCAUGCAUGAAACAUGGCAAUAUGAGUGUGUUGGGCUAAUGCAACUAAAACCAGAAGUGUUUGAACAAAUUUGAAUCAAGGAUUCAAAUUUCAAAUUCAAAUAUGGCCUUUUAAAGUGCUUUUCCUUGUUCUGAUUAAAACAUCAAUUUAACUUGUUUGAUCAUGCAUGAAAAUAGUACAGAUGGAUAGAUUGGAUUUUUCUGAUCAUUUUUCAUAUAUAAUUUGUCCAAUUUGGAGUUACAGAAUAAAAGUUAUGAAUUUUUGAAGUUUAAAUAAUAUUCUGGAAUUUCCUGAUUUAAUUUAAAUCCAGAAAUUCAAUUACUGCGUCAGCAUGACAUCAGCAUGACGUCAGUGGUCAACUGUGGCUGGCUGAGGUCAAACCUGACGUGUGGGGGCCACACGUCAGUGACAGGGGGGGUUAAACAGGAUUAAAUUAAUCCUAAUUAGGGGUUAGUGGCGCUGGGACCCACUGUCAGUGUCAGGGGGGGUUAACUAACAGUAGUUAGCGCUAACCUAACCACCUGGCCGACAGGGCCCACGCGUCAGUGACCCUGGGGGGUCAAACCCCAGGUCGGGCAAGUCAAACCCCACCGGCGACAUGACGCCGGCGAGGUCCGAGACGGCAGCGAUAGUGCUUUUUGCCAUUCCGGCAACCAAAUGGACGGCGGAAGGCACCUACGUGUUGCUGAGGUUGAGCCGCGUCUAUUGGUGGUGGUGGUUGGGCUCGGGGUGGCCGGAGUUGACGGCGGCGAGCUCGGCUGUGGCGGCCGGAGUUCGGGUGCGGUCGGGAUCAGCGUUGCAGGGGGUUUGGGGAAGCGUUGGUGCGUGCUGCGUGCUCCUAGUGAGGUGGGGAGCACGAUGGUGUGCUCGGUUGGGUGCUACGGCGACCGUGGCCACGACGGCGACAUCGCCGGCGGCGUGGAGGUCUCGGCCAAGGUGGGGCUAGGGCCUAGAGGUCGAAAGAGACCAGGGGAGAAGGGGGAAAUGAUCCGGGGGCUCACCGCGGAGCUGCAGGGAUGGUUAGCGGGCUCGGGGACGCGCUGGUGACGGUGAAUUCGACGGCGACGACGGUCGGAGCCCGAAGAGGGGAACGGCGACGUGGCGGCGAUGCAGGGCUUCCGGGGAGCUGUGGAGCGGUGGGGAGGAAGAGGGAGUCGAGGCGGAGCUCCUGAGCUAGUCGGGGGAGCGAGGGGUGGUCGGAGACGGUGGCUAAGGCGAACGGCGGCGACGGUGGUGUUCGGCCGGGCGAGAGAGAGAGCGAGGGAGAGCCGGGGGNNNNNNNNNNGGCAGGCAGGGAGAGAGGUGGCGUGGCGCGGUGGCCGUGCGCGCGCGCCGGCCACACGCCUGGCCGACUGGCGCCAGGAGGACGACGGCGGUGGUGGGCUGGGCUGGCUAGCUGGGCCGGCCAGCUGGUUGGGCCGCACAGGUAAGUUUUUCCCUUUUAGUUUUCUGUUUCUGUUUUUAUUUAAUAUAUCUGCAACUUUGUUGAAUGAAAUAAAAUACCUAGGCAACUCCAAAAAUCACCAAACUAUUUCUGGCCCAUAGUUGGAUUAUUUCCAACAUGAAACAUUUUAGUUUGGAGAUAUUUGAGCAUUUAAAUAUUUUAUAUUAUUUUAAAUGCCCAAAUUCAAAUAUUUAUGAUUUAAUUCAAAAACCUUAGGAUGGCCUAGGAAAAUGUGCACCACUUUUGGCAGAGGUUCUGAACCAAGGCAAAAAUGAUGGGCAUUUUAGAAGGGCAUUUCAGGUUCAUUGAAAAAUUAUUUUAGUAACCCUAGUUGGUUUCAGAGGGGACUGGGGGUUCUGUCAUCCCCAUUUCAAGUUUCUGAUGAAAGAGUAAACAUGAUGCAACACUCUAAUGCAUGACUAGCUAGGGUGUGACAUCGGGAAUGCACCAAAAAAGCUUCUCGACAGCUCUCUCCUCGGUGUAGGUGGCAUCGCCAAACUUCAUCAUCUUCUGCAGCAGAGUGUUGAGACGGAGAGCAAAGUCAUCAACGUCCUCACCUGGCUUGAAGCCCAGGUUCUCCCACUCCUUACGAAGUGCCUGUAGUGUGGACUUGCGAGCACGGUCGCUGCCGAUGCGUGCUGCGGCGAUGGCGUCCCAAGCCUCAUUGACAGUCCGCUUGUUGGAAAGCGAGAACUGCAUCUCGGGCGGGACUGCGGCGAUGAGGGCGUCCAGCGCCCGUCGAUCCUCUAGGUGGUCGACGUUGCUGUCCUGGACUGCCUCCCACAUGCGCCGCACCUGGGGCCUGACCUUCAUGAUCCCGGCCCACUCGAUGUAGUUGGUUUUAGUGAGGGUAGGCCACCCAACACUGGAACCAACAUCCCUGACCACAGUCGGGACCUCGUAGAGGCCGCGGUCCUGGUCGUUGCAGCCGCCGUCGCGGUGCGCGCCUCCACCUUGAGCGCGGGCGUGCUCGGCUGCCCACUGCGCCGUCCUCUCCUGCGCCACUUUGGCGCGAUCUGCGUCGGCGCCGUCGUCCGCAGGCGCGGAGCUGCUGGAGCUGCCGGGGCUGCCGCGGAGUGCCUUGGCAUCCGCCGUAGCCUCACGGGCUGCUUCUGCUGCUACUGCUGCUCCUACCUCCGCCCUGGCUGCUUCUACCUCCGCUCUGGCUGCUGCCAGCUCCGCUGCAGCCAGCCUCGACACCCUUGCCGCCGCAGCAGCUGCUGCUACAGCCGCUCGCUCACGCUCCUCUGCCACGGCGCGCUCGGCCUCCUGCCGGCGCCGCAUGCUCGAGGUAGCCGUGUGCUGAGAGCGACCUGCAGACAUGGCUCGCUGCAGGGGGGCUGUUGCGUGAAGAGGAGGCCGAUGAAGACGAGCUGCUGCUCGACAGUCCGGAGGGAGGAAGGUAACCAGAGGCAGACGGAGCAGCUGCUGCUACCGACUUGGGCUGCUCACAGGAAAUGCUCAGGGUACAGGUUAACGAGGCUCUGAUACCACUUGUUAGACCUUUCAGUCUGAGCAUUGAUAGUUGUGGAUGACACUAGAAGAGUUGGGACAAUUUUCGUUGGUUUAUUUCUCACACAAUGCCAUGCCAACCUGAGGGGUUGGGGAUACAUAUUUAUAGGCUGCUAGCCAGCCAAGGCAUAUGCUAAGAUGCUGCUAAGAUGCCAGUCUAAGAUGCUAGUCUAAGAUGCUAACUGACAGUCCUUGAUGGUCAAGAACAGAACUCUAUCCUAACAGCCAGUCCUUGAUGGUUCAGGACUUUAUCCUCCUAACUGCCACAAGGACCAUGUGCUGCAGCCCCACAAAGACCCUAGUACAUAAACUUAUCCAUCAACCUCCACCACCGCCCCGCUGGCCGCCACGAACAGCGUCCCUCCACCGCCGGUGCCGAUUACCUCCGCCGCCCCGGUUGCCACCAUCUUCACCCUCGAGGAAGUCACCGGCGCGCUCCGCGAUCUCGCCACCGCGGUCCAGGAGAUCCGCCUCUACCUGGCCGGCCCCCACGAGCCGCCGCCGGCCGCGCCACCCGCCGCCGCCACCGGGCCGCUGCUCCUACCGUGGCAGCUGCCCCUCCCGGCGGCCUCCGCCGCCCUCGCCAGCCCGUUGCAGCCCCAGCUNNNNNNNNNNNNNNNNNNNNNNNNNNNNNNNNNNNNNNNNNNNNNNNNNNNNNNNNNNNNNNNNNNNNNNNNNNNNNNNNNNNNNNNNNNNNNNNNNNNNGGUGAUAGAACAAUCUCAUAUCAUAAUCCUUAAUGAGCUCCAACCAUCUCCUUUGCCUGAGAUUUAACUCCUUCUGUGGGAAGUUGUACUUCAAGCUCUUGUGAUCAGUGUACACCUCACAAUGGUUUCCGAUGAGAAAAUGUCUCCAUGUCUUUAAUGCAUGCACUAUGGCUGCUAACUCCAAAUCAUGUGUAGCAUAGUUCAACUCAUGGGGUUUAAGCUGUCGUGAGGCAUAAGAAACAACUCUUCCCUCCUGCAUAAGCACCGCUCCAAGUCCUCGACGAGAAGCAUCGCAAUAUACUUCAUAAUCCUUGCGCUCAUCUGGCAGAAUCAACACCGGUGAUGUAACCAAACAUUUCUUCAACUCCUGGAAACUGGCCUUACAUUCCUCAGUCCAUUUGAAUUUGAUGUCCUUUUUCAACAACUCUGUCAUGGGUUUUGCGAUCUUCGAGAAAUUCUCAAUGAACCUCCGGUAGUAUCCUGCGAGUCCAAGAAAACUCCGGAUAUCUCCAACUGAUGUGGGUGCUUCCCAAUUUGUCACAGUGACAACUUUGGUGGGGUCUACUGCUAUUCCUUCUCCGGAUAUAACAUGUCCAAGGAAUCCAACUUCCUUCAACCAAAACUCGCACUUGCUGAACUUGGCAUAUAAUUGAUGCUCUCUGAGCUUCCCAAGUACCAAACGCAAAUGUUCCUUAUGCUCUUCUUCAUUCUACGAGUAGACCAAAAUAUCAUCAAUGAACACCACAAUGAACUUAUCCAGAAACUCCAUGAACACCUUGUUCAUCAUGUUCAUAAAAUAGGCAGGUGCGUUAGUCAGACCAAAUGACAUAACGGUAUACUCAUAUAGCCCGUACCUUGUGGUAAAAGCUGUCUUAGGUAUAUCCUGCUCUCGAAUCUUCAGCUGGUGGUAUCCUGAUCGCAGAUCGAUCUUGGAAAAUACUUUAGCUCCUUGCAACUGGUAAAACAAAUCAUUGAUCAUCGGCAGUGGGUACUUGUUCUUGAUUGUCACUUCAUUCAAUCCUCGAUAAUCAAUAGCCAUCCUUAAUGAUCCAUCCUUCUUCUCCACUAGAAGCACUGGUGACCCCCAAGAUGUUCUAUCACUUUUAGCUAGCACAGAGGCUAGAGAUGAGAUUAGUGCACUUGUUGAUACUCCUACUAGAAUAGAGGCUAGACAUGAGACUAGAUGUGAGGAAGCAACGUCUACUUCUUUACACUCGAAGAAGAAAGAAGCACGCAAGAUCGAGCCUCCGCAGAUCAACAAUGAAUGCAUCGAGAAGGCACUAAUCCAACUUAUAGGAGUAGUAAAAUUUAUUCUUGUGGUUCUUGUUUUCUUUGGUCUUGCUUUUCUAGUCAAAAUUAUCGUUGGAGUUCGUGCAAAACGAAGGUCCGUUUGGGGUCGUGCGUUGGAGUUUGCCUUACAAGUGGGACCGCAGUUAAGGAAACCGACUAUCGGCAAACCCCCACCUCGCCCGCCGCGCGAUGGCUGAAGUUAGAGAAAUGACGAGGUUGAAGAGAUUGCUCUAGCAUGGACUCCAAGAAAUAAUAUGGUGUCAGAUGGAUGUCGUGGUGGUGGCGUGUGUCGUACUCCUGGACGUGAAUGCUUGUUCUGGCCCAUGCCACCCUACUACUCCUACUACUUACUCCUACUAUAUAGUACUAGUAUCGAGGAUUCGAGGUGCUGGUUACGUACAGCAAACACAUUAACAUAUGGCUACAGUAAAAACACCUGCCCGACGCGUGAAGCAUGUGAAGCUAGUACAAAUAGUGUACAACUAUUGUUGAUUGGCCUCAUCCGAUAACCUGUUGCAAUGCACGUACAAUUAUGUAUUCAGAAAAAUUUUUUCCUCGUCGCACCACUCACUCAGAGAAGUGACUCGAAAGCCAUUCCUAAAUUUAGUAAGUUUAUCACAGGCAUAUCAUUUUAUUACAUACAAUAGGUCAUCAACCCACAUCGACAACGAGGAUACAUUAUAAAUACUAAAGUUUUCACCAUACAAAAAAUAACAAGCAAUAAAAUGAACUUCAACUCAACCAUUCCUCGGUGUUGGAAAUGCUUGCUUUGAACCACAAGUGAUUCUCUGGGACGGGCCAUCCAUUAUCGAUCUGGAGACCAACGCAGGACUGAUCAUCCAGGCUGAAGCGGCCUACUAUAUCAGUACCAGGGUAGGGAACCACCCAAUUGUCCGAGGUAUAGACACAGCUGCUUCUCAUAAAUGGUACUAGUAACAUUGUGUCAACAGCAGUUGGGUCACCUUUCACCAUCAUCGGAUAGUUUUGUCCAAGGAAGAGCGAGUUUUCUCCAAGACUAUCAAUUCUGUACCAGGGAGAAGGAGUUGGCGCUAGCACACUAGUAUCCAUCCCGAAUACCAUGCAAUGGGUGUUGGAAUAGGUCCGGAGAGUGCGACCAUGGGAGACUACACCUGCUUCCUUAGCAGUAACAUCAUCAGUGGGCUGUAUACACACAAGAAGAGGUGAUCCAUCGGAAUUAGUUGCCAGGCGCCACAGAGUAUAUGGGCGCUACUCGUCCUCAUGCUUGUGAUCAUCACCAUCGUCAUCUCCCCCUUGGUUAUAAAAUUUUUCAAGUAUAGGUGGUGGGAUGUUCACAAGACCUUGGAAACACAAGAAGAAGCUUAAUUAGUAAAGGGAAACUUGCUAACCCGCAUGCAUGUGGAUGAAACAAUUAUAAUUACGCUGGAAGACAAACGUACCGAAACUACGAGGAUCCCAUGCAAAACAGUGCCACGAGUGGUGGCAGCAAACACAAGGCCCUCGUAUUGAAUUGCAUCACAGUACUCAUCCAUGUACAGAAACUGAUUUUUGAGCAAUAUCCAUCGAGUCAAACCACCAAGGACGGCAACAAGCUUGUUGAAGAUAGAAUUCCAAGAGCGGUUGGGAACUUGACAAAUUGCUAUCUUCCGUAGAAGAUAAUCACCAUGAUCGUAUUUGAACGUGCGUACAAUACCGGUGUGCUCAACCUCUGGGCAGUCUGCUGAGAUUUUUGGAAGUGGAACCCGGUCACGAGUGUACACAUUCACAAGUUCCCACUCGCAGUUGGACCCAAUGUAAACAACCCAAUCUCCAUUUGCGCCUGCCCAAGCCUUGCCCUCAAGCGAUGGCAUCUUAACAUCAUACGUAUCAUUAUCAAGCGGCAUCAACUUGCACAGGCUGAGGCCUCCGUCGUGCCGGCGCCAGUCAUCAGGGUCACGGCGAAGAAGAUAGGGGAGAUCAAACCGCUCCUUGACUCUUGGGUUCCUUGUAAUGAUGUUAUUAGUGGUCUUCACUGGGAUGAAAUGAGCUACCUUGGUCAAACGAUCGACUACAACCCAUAUCGAGUCAUAGCCUGAACGAGUCCUGGGCAAUCCUGUGAUAAAAUCCAUGCCUAUCUUAUCCCACUUCAAUUCGGGUAUCGACAAUGGUUGUAGCAAUCCUGCUGGCUUCUGAUGCUCUGCCUUCACUCUUUGACAUACAUCACAAACUGCUACAAACUCCGCAAUAUCCUUCUUCAUUCCGGUCCACCAAAAACUAUCCUUCAAAUCCAGAUACAUUUUGGUAUAUCCUGGGUGAAUCAAAUACGGCGAAUCAUGGGCCUCCUGCAGAAUCAACUUCCUGAUCUCUGGGUCAUUAGGCACAUAUACGCGGACCUCAAACCAUAAGGUAUCAUGCUCAUCCUCACGAGAUCCCUUAGCUUUUCCUUUGCUCAUCUUCUCCUUUAUCUCGGCAAUCUCCUUGUCGGUCUUCUGANNNNNNNNNNNNNNNNNNNNNNNNNNNNNNNNNNNNNNNNNNNNNNNNNNNNNNNNNNNNNNNNNNNNNNNNNNNNNNNNNNNNNNNNNNNNNNNNNNNNUUUUUCUUUUAAAAUUUCACUUGUUUAAUUAACUACAUUCAAAGAACUUUCUACAGUUUUUUUAGAGAAGGACAACCUAUGAUUUGCUAGCUAGCUAGUUAGGUAUUUUAACACAACAUUAAUAGCAAGGAGAAGGAGAUGAACUGUUCACAGCCAGGCAGGCAGGUCUCGCUGGCUUUUUCCUGUAUCAUUGGCUACUCCUACUUCCUUCUCUGACAAAGACCUGUUCUGAAUCUGUAAUACUGAUUCAUAGUGAUGAUGGUGGAUCGACUAUAGACCUUUACUAAUCCAUGUACAACAAAAAUUACGACGUACAAGGUUAAAAAUCCAAGGGUCAAACCCUAGUCAAUCGAUCCGGCAAAUUCUACACGAAUCUGGCAUGACAUCCAGUGCGAUUAACAGGAGUUUCAAUUAUAAUUAGCCUCCACGAAGCUGCAUGGAGGAGGAUGUAAUCGUGUUUUGUUUCCUUGUCUGAAACUUCACUUUCCAUCAAUCUGAAAAUAAGUGGUAGAGGGUAAAGGAAUGAAAAAAAACAUAUGUAGAGGUUUUGCAACAGCUAAAGCCACACACACAAAAACAUUAGUAUGCUAGCUGGUCCAUGGCAUUGACAAGUCAAUUGAUUCGAUGCAACCAUAUGUAUGAAUAAUAUGGCCAAGGAUAAGAGAAGUAAAAAAUAUAAAUAUACUGAUAGGCUCUUCUUUUGUUCACGUGUGCAUGUUGCAUGAGCCAAGUGUAUCGGCAUUAUGGCUUGUGUUUGCUACAUGACGGCGAUAGGCCAGUUCCCAUUCAGUCAGGCAUGAUAUGUCCUAAAUUCAUUUAUUCACGUAUCGUGUAGAAGGAGAACUUAUUUCAUUUAUGUUUUGUAGGUUCCUUGCUUACAAGAAAAUAGAAAAAAAGACACUUAUAUAAUUACCAGACAAAAUCAACUGUAUAUUGCUCUAUCUUUCCUCUUUGUUCUGUAUCAGUAUCAACAAUCAUAGUACUAAUAGCUUCCUAUACUGGUGGUAAUAAAUUCAAUAAAAGAAACCUAGAAACUAUAUGAACAACUUGAAACAAUAUGUACAAACUUAGAUUAACCAACGAAUGAAAUACAAAAGAAGUGUUCAUGUCUACGUGGAGUGAAUCAAUCAAGCCACGCAAAGCCCUAAUACUUUGUUUUCUAUUAGUAACUCAUAUGACAAUACAACCGCUCCAUAUGAAAAGGUAAUACGAUGAGUCAUCUAUGCUUAUCCAUCUUACAUAUAUAUUGUACAAAAAAUAUAAAGUUAGUUCAGAAAAAAUUGUGUAUAGAACAAUCUUCGCAUUAAUAGUGUGAUCUAUCUCAAUGACACACACAAAAUUACAAACUUUGUUCCCUUAAGUAUGCCAAUCUGGAUACGCCUAACAACAUAUAGAACAUGACAAACUAACUCGGAGCAAGGGACAAAAUCUAGAUCAAUGUUUGAAGUGUAAAGUGAAUACGAUGAGUCAUUUGUCGUUAUCAAGCAUUCCAUACACCUAGAUGAUAUGUGCAAGAACAAUCAACUAUGAAGAACAAUCCAAAAUCACACUAGUAAGUAGUGCAAUGAAACACAACAUACCAAAUUAUUAGGUAAUCGAUAAGCUUAAGAGCAGUUUUUCAAGAAGCGAGUGUAAAGAUUACAAACUUAGUUCCCUUAAGUUAUGCCAAUCUGGAUAUACCUAACAACAUGCAGAACAGCACAAGCUAAAUCAGAAAGACGGACAAAAUCUAGAUCAAUAUUUGAAGUGUAAAGUGAAUACGAUGAGUCAUUAUGCGUUAUCAAGCAUUUGAUACACCCAGAUGAUAUGAGAAAGAACAAUCAACUAUGAUGAACAAUCCAAAGUCACGCUAGUAAGUAGUGCCAUCAAACACAACAUACAAAAUUAUUAGGUCGAUAAGCUUAAGAGCACUUUUUCAAGAAACGAGUGUGAAGAUCAAAAACAAAUGUGCGAUGCCAGCUAUAAAUACGACUACACCAUGAGGGUCUCUUCCAUCAUCUAACCUUCAAGGACCUAGAGUUGAAACACCAAAGCCAAGUGAGCAAUAGUAAACACAAAUCAAACAUGAAGACCUUCAUCAUAUUUGUCCUCCUUGCCAUGGCGAUGAACAUCGCCAGUGCCAGUAGGCUGCUAAGCCCUAGAGGCAAGGAAUUGCAUACUCCACAAGAACAAUUCCCCCAACAACAACAAUUCCCCCAACCACAACAAUUCCCCCAACAACAACAAUUAACGCAACAACAAUUCCCCCGGCCACAACAAUCCCCUGAACAACAAUAAUUCCCCCAACAACAAUUCCCCCAGCAACCACCACAACAAUUCCCCCAACAACAAUUUCCAAUACCAUACCCACCCCAGCAAUCACAAGAACCUUCCCCAUACCAACAAUAUCCACAACAAGAACCAUCUGGGAGCGACGUUAUAAGUAUCAGUGGCCUAUGAAAUGAAGAGAUGUAAUACUAGACGGGUGAAUCAUCGUUGUUAGUCAAUGGAGCAUAAUGUAACGAUGAUAAAUAAAGUGAUGUGCACCAUCAUGUGUAACCCCGACCUGUACUAGUCCAAACAUGGGAAUAAAAGACAAAUAAGUUCUUUUCUGAAGCACAUUGCUCGCAAUUGUUACAUUCAUGCCCUAUUUUGAUUUCCAUCCCUAACUACAAUCUCAAUGUUAUGUGACGUCUACUUAUUUAGGAAGUGUAGUAUUAUAUGAACAUAACAUAAUUAACAUGUACGAAACUUGUUUCAAAUUGAAGUACUAUUAAUUCGGGAGUAAGGACUAAUUACAAUUUAACAUUUCAAUGGAGAGUGCUACUUGUAGACUGUGUUGUUAAUUCCCCAAGGAGGAGAGGAUGAUGAAGUAUAGUACAAAUAAGUAUUUCACUAAGUUAAGAAUCAAGGUUAUCAAUCCAGUAGGUGAACCACACAAAACCUUGUUAACAGCACCUGCACACACAAAAGCAAACACUGACACCUAACGCAAAUAAGAGGCUUGUCAAUCCUCGUAGACGUUAUUUGCAAUGAUUAAUUCUCGUAGUGAUAGAUGGACAUGAGUUGUCAUUUGAUAACGUGAUCACAUCAUUAGGAGAAUGAUGUGAUUUACAAGACCCAAACUAUGAAUGUAGCAUAUGAUCUUGUCAAGUUUAUUGCUAUCGUUUUCUGCAUGUCAAUUAUAUGUUCCUAUGACCAUGAGAUCAUGCAAGUCACUGACACCGGAGGAGUGCCUUGUGCGUAUCAAACAUCACAACGUAACUGGGUGACUAUAAAGAUGCUCUACAGGUGUCUCCAAGGGUGUCUAUUGAGUUGGCAUGGAUCGAGACUGGGAUUUGUCACUCCGUAUGAUGGAGAGGUAUCUCAGGGCCCACUCGGUAAUACAACAUCACAAUAAGCUUGCAAUCAAUGUGACUAAGAAGUUAGCCACGGGAUCUUGUAUUACGAAAUAGAGAGACUUGCCGGUAACGAGAUUGCACUAGGUAUGGAGAUACCAAUGAUCGAAUCUCAGGCAAGUAACAUACCAAUGGAAAAAGGGAACUUCAUACGGGAUUGCCUGAAACCUUGACAUCGAGGUUCGACUGAUAAAGAUCUUCGUAGAAUAUGUAGGAACCAACAUGGGCAUCCAGGUCAUGUUAUUGGUCAUUGACCGUAGAGGUGUAUCGGUCAUGUGUGCAUAGUUCUCGAACCCGCAGGGUCUACACACUUAACGUUUGUUGACGAUAUAAGUAUAGUUGGGUCAUAUGGUGGUUACCGAAGNNNNNNNNNNNNNNNNNNNNNNNNNNNNNNNNNNNNNNNNNNNNNNNNNNNNNNNNNNNNNNNNNNNNNNNNNNNNNNNNNNNNNNNNNNNNNNNNNNNNGUCCUCUUCAGGUACUUCAGGAUAUUCUUGACCGCUGUCCAGUGUUCCAUGCCGGGAUUACUUUGGUACCUUCCUACCAAACUUACGGCAAGGUUUACAUCAGGUCUGGUACACAGCAUGGCAUACAUAAUAGACCCUAUGGCCGAGGCAUAGGGGAUGACACUCAUCUUUUCUCUAUCUUCUGCCGUGGUCGGGCAUUGAGCCGUGCUCAAUUGCACACCUUGCAAUACAGGCAAGAACCCCUUCUUGGACUGAUCCAUAUUGAACUUCUUCAAUAUCUUGUCAAGGUAUGUACUCUGUGAAAGACCAAUGAGGCGUCUUGAUCUAUCUCUAUAGAUCUUGAUGCCUAAUAUAUAAGCAGCUUCUCCAAGGUCCUUCAUUGAAAAACACUUAUUCAAAUAUGCCUUUAUACUUUCCAAGAAUUCUAUAUCAUUUCCCAUCAAUAAUAUGUCAUCCACAUAUAAUAUGAGAAAUGCUACAGAGCUCCCACUCACUUUCUUGUAAACACAGGCUUCUCCAUAAGUCUGUGUAAACCCAAACGCUUUGAUCAUCUCAUCAAAGCGAAUGUUCCAACUCCGAGAUGCUUGCACCAGCCCAUAGAUUGAGCGCUGGAGCUUGCAUACUUUGUUAGCAUUCUUAGGAUCGACAAAACCUUCCGGCUGCAUCAUAUACAACUCUUCCUUAAGGAAGCCAUUAAGGAAUGUCGUUUUGACGUCCAUCUGCCAUAUCUCAUAAUCAUAGUAUGCGGCAAUUUCUAACAUGAUUUGGACGAACUUCAGCUUCGCUACGGGUGAUAAAGUCUCAUCGUAGUCAACCCCUUGAACUUGUCGAUAACCCUUAGCGACAAGUCGAGCUUUGUAGAUGGUCACAUUACCAUCCGCGUCCGUCUUUUUCUUAAAGAUCCAUUUGUUUUCUAUGGCUCGCCGAUCAUCGGGCAAGUCAGUCAAAGUCCAUACUUCAUUUUCAUACAUGGAUCCUAUCUCGGAUUUCAUGGCUUCUAGCCAUUUGUCGGAAUCCGGGCCCGCCAUCGCUUCUUCAUAGUUCGAAGGUUCACCGUUGUCUAAUAACAUGAUUUCCAGGACAGGGUUGCCGUACCACUCUGGUGCGGAACGUGUCCUUGUGGACCUACGAAGUUCAGUAACUUGAUCCGAAGCUUCAUGAUCAUCAUCAUUAACUUCCUCCCCAGUCGGUGUAGGCACCACAGGAACAUUUUCCCGCGCUGCGCUACUUUCCGGUUCGGAAGAGGUGACUAUCACCUCAUCAAGUUCCACUUUCCUCCCACUCAAUUCUUUCGAGAGAAACUCCUUCUCCAGAAAGGACCCGUUCUUGGCAACGAAGAUCUUGCCUUCGGAUCUGAGGUAGAAGGUAUACCCAAUGGUUUCCUUAGGGUAUCCUAUGAAGACGCAUUUCUCCGACUUGGGUUCGAGCUUUUCAGGUUGAAGUUUCUUGACAUAAGCAUCGCAUCCCCAAACCUUUAGAAACGACAGCUUAGGUUUCUUCCCAAACCAUAAUUCAUAUGGUGUCGUCUCAACGGAUUUCGGCGGAGCCCUAUUUAAAGUGAAUGCGGCAGUCUCUAAAGCAUAGCCCCAAAAUGAGAGCGGUAAAUCGGUAAGAGACAUCAUAGGUCGCACCAUAUCCAAUAGAGUGCGAUUACGACGUUCGAACACACCAUUUCGCUGAGGUGUUCCAGGCGGCGUGAGCUGUGAAACUAUUCCACAUUUUCUUAAA